rnacentral:lncRNA from 1 species
UCACUGAUGUUCAUACUGCUCUGUUGGGCAACUAUCUUAAACAAAACUUACUUCUUUGUCUAUUGCCUGACUAGUGUCAUAUUGCUAAUGAUAACUUUUGUUUUCGUCCUACCUGUGCAGAACUUGGUCCAUAUACUCUGGAUUUUACGUCAAGUGGUCGAUAUAUGGCAGCUGCUGGAUGCAAGGGGCACCUAGCUGUUGUGGACAUGAACAAUAUGAACUUAGUUAAAGAAAUACAGGUAUGCUGUUCUUUUGAUGAGACCUCUUAUAUCUCUUGACAAACUGAUUGCAAUGUUACUUGUGUUUAUCUAGGAAACCUAGUAUGUGUUGACAAACAAGAAGUUAUUUAGAAUUUUAAAAAAUAGGUUAUGCUGGGACAAAUGACUCAAAUUUGAUAUUUUAUUUAUCUUACUGUUUGUUAGAUAUCUCAGUAUUACUUUGCAUACUCUAAUGGAGUAAUUUUCUUUGUUUGUACCUCCAGGUUCUAUCUGGGAAGAUUAAAUGGAUAUACUGAUUGUUUGUUGGUUUGUUCAGGUUAGAGAAACAGUACGCGAUGUGGUCUUCUUGCACAAUAAGCUGUUUUUUGCUGCUGCCCAGAAAAAGUAUACCUGUUUUAUUUUAUUUUUUAGUGUUUCAAUGAAUAGUAAAUUCGUAUGCUCUAAACGUAUUGGUGUUCGUUCAUAUAGAGAAUGCAUUAUUAACUAUAUUUGAUGCCUGAUAUCUUUUGGAACCUUCAUAAGAAUUAGACACUUUGAAUUAGUUGAAUUUUUUGUCUCUGGGACCAGAGGUCUAUUUUGGUCUGAGUCUUACUUGAAUUUUCACUGCUGGCUAUAUUGGAUAUCGCUGGAACUUGAUCAAUCUAAUUGAUCGUUCUGCAUGAGGUCAUUCGAGGGAAAAACAAAUCAUGUGCAGAACUGAUUAGUUAUUUUCCUGAUUUAGCUUUAUUUUAACCAGUCAGUGACAAUCUUCUUUUGAACAAAAUUGGAGACUUUCAAUUAUCACUACUUGUUUAAAGGAAUCCUUAUUCCUCUGCAGCAUGCUGCAUAUUUCUGUACAACAUUGGAAAAUUAUUGGCAUUCCUUUCUUGUUAUGGUCGGUUGUAAUAGGAAACUGGUCAUCCCAAAUCCUUUAUAUGGCUUAAAUUUGAACCCCGUGAAGGCAUAACUUGUUUGAGUUGGCCUAGGUUACCAUUCCUUCAUUGUUUUUGGUUUUUCUGGAGUUUAUUUUUCAACCCAAACUCAUUAUGAAGCUCUAUUUCAGGUGCUCCAGUUCUUUCUUUUUUUUUUUUUUUUCUCAAAUUCCCAACAUACUCUGUUUUGGACAUUUGGUUUUAUUCAUAUAAGUAAAUUUCUUUGUUACUGAUGACAACACACACACACAGUGCAAUUCCUCGCAGUUUUGUAGUUCCUUAAAUGAGCUUUCAUUUUUAUUAUUGUUUUUAUGUUUUGCCAUCUUUUGAUGACAGUCUCAAAGUUAUAUUUUGCAUGGUUAGAUAUCAAUAUGAACAAUGAUGUAAUGGACUCAGAUAAUUCUGUAGCUUUGUUUGAAUGACAGCUAAAAAUUCUAAAUUUUGACAGGUACCCUUAUUUUUACAACCGAGAUGGCACUGAACUUCAUUGUUCAAAGGCGAGUUCGCUUUACUUGUAGGAUUUCGAUCUUUUUAGCUGUAGGUCGUUCAAAUUUGAGAAUGCCCAAAGUGAUGUAGUCCAACCCAACAAGACUAAUAAUUUAUGCUCUUUCAAUCUUGCAGGAACAUGGUGAAGUUCUGAAACUUCAGUUUCUCUUGGCGUCCAUAAACAAACUUGGGCAGCUUCGAUAUCAAAAUGUUACAAUGGGUGAGAUUGUGGGUAAUUUUUGGACUGGUCUAGGCCGUACUGAUGUAAUACGGGUGAAUCCCUUCAAUGGGGUUGUUUCUUUGGGUCAUUCUGGUGGUACGGUAACCAUGUGGAAACCCACCACCGCUGCUCUGCUUAUCAAGAUGCUAUGUCAUCAGGGGCCUGUUUCAGCGUUGGCAUUUCAUCCUAAUGGUCAUCUCAUGGCCACAUCUGGCAAAGACUGUAAAAUUAAGAUUUGGGACUUGAGGAAAUAUGAGGUUCUUCAGACAUUACCUGGCCAUGCAAAGACUUUAGACUUCAGUCGGAAAGGUUUGCUUGCUGUCGGGACUGGAUCAUUUGUACAGAUUCUGGAGAUUUUUCUGGAUCUCAUAACUAUAACAGAUACAUGGGUUAUUCUAUGGUGAAAGGCUACCAAAUAGGAAAAGUUUCAUUUCGCCCAUAUGAAGACGUGUUAGGCAUCGGACACUCCAUGGGUGUGUCUGGUAUUCUUAUUCCCGGAUCAGGUGAACCCAACUUCGAUUCCUGGGUGGCAAACCCAUUUGAAACAUCUAAACAGAGGAGAGAGAAGGAAGUGCACUCUCUUCUUGACAAGCUCCCACCUGAAACAAUCAUGCUGAAUCCAUCUAAGAUUGGUACGGUGAGGGAAGCAAAGAAGAAAGAGAAACCAACUAAGCAGGAGAGAGAAGACGAAAUGGAAGCUGCUGUUGAGGCCGUUAAGGGCUUCGUUUGGAAGAAUAAAACAAAGGGUAGGAAUAAACCGAGUAAGAAAGCCAAGAAGAAACAAGAACUGGUUGCAAAAGCCAAGAGACCUUUUCUGGAUCAACAAUUAAAGGAAGAACAAUCAUUGUCUAAAAAGAAGCAAAAAUUAUCCGAGGAAGUUGAACUACCGGCAUCUUUGCGGAGAUUUGCAUGCAAGAAACCAACGGCAUGAUUUUGGUUGGUUCUUGUUUUGUUGACAUUUUUUGAAAUGUUGUAUUUAUUUUCUUUUCUAUCCCCAAUUUUUUUUUAAUGCCAAAAAUGCAUCUUGAGAUCUUGUUUAAUUAUCUUCCCCGUUGAGACACUAAUUGGCAGAGAAGAGUGCUUCUAUGAUUAUUUUUGCGGAGUCUAAGGCGCUACAAAACUCCCUUGGCAAUGAUCAACUUUACGAAGAUCCCAUUUUAUUCCAGACGCUGGUAGCAUUGGUCCUGUUGAGCCCCAAUUUAUUGCUUCUUCUCUACAGAUAAUGCUUACUCCUUUAACUUGUUCUGAAAAAUUAGGGUUUCGCGAGUAUUUUAUCUGGAAAAUCUGUAUUGUUAUUGGGUGCUUUGGGUGCCAAUCAUAUAAGAUAUAAGAAGAAAGAUAUUGAAAUUUUGACAUAAAUUUUUAAUCAUUAAUUUCAAGUAAUCCAAUGAAAGAUUUUGAAAUUCAAAGCAGCAUUUUACUGAUGGUUAUUCAUUCACCAUUAAAUUGCUUGAUUUCAAUAGUUCAAAAUUUUAAGUUGAAUUUUAUGACUCAUAUAUUAUGGAUUCAUCGACAUAUAAUAAUACUUCAAACUUUUUUUUUCCUAAUUGUUAAUGUGUUUUCAUUUAAAGUAAUAAGUUAUUAAGUUUAUUUCGGGAAACUUGUUUUUUAAAUUUGCAACAACAAAAGUGCACGCGUGUGUAAAAUUUAAUAGGAUAUACAUGCCAAGUAAUUUUCACUUCUGAAAGCUAAUAAGCUGCUGGUUGGCCACACAAUACCAUUUAAAGGAGUUGAAUAUAUUCAUUAGAGCCACAAAUAGGCAAUAGCAAUUUAUUAGUUGAGGAACGAAAAUAAACCAAAUCUGAAAGUAACUUCAAAGGAACACUGCUUAUGUAAAACAUUUCUAACAAUUCUUGUUUAUAAAAAUAAAAUGACAUCAAAUUACAUUUUAAUUUUUAAUUGACAAUCAUGGCUCUUUGAUUGUCUAUUAUUUUCUUUCAUAUCAAACAACCCCUUAUGUACCUAAAAUAGUGGAUUAAUUAUUUGAGAAGAAUGGUUCCGAGACCAAUUUCGGAGGGAUAAAUUAUUUGGUUGUUGAGAUUAUAAAGGAGGACACCAUCUUGAGAUUCAGAAAUAAUGCUAGAAUUGGGAUCUUGAUGAUGCCUUAGAAUUUUUUUAAGGUCUCUUUGAAGCCUUUCAACUGGGGAAAGACUUUGGUAGACUACUAAGGAUCUUUUUCUUGAAGGAAUAUGAACAUCCCACAAGCUCUGUUGGAUUUCACCUGCAUGCAUGCAAUUAGACCAUUAGAGAAUUAUCAUCAUUUGAAAUAAAAUCAUGAUCAUUUGGUAUGUACUAUGAUCUUACAUUUGAAAAAUUGUUUUGAUAUUCUUCUGCACUCAUUGCACUUUUAUAAAUAUGAAAUACGUUAAAGCUGUUGACAAAAAAAUAUGCUGGCAAUGCAUAAAUACGAAAAUACAAACAAUAAACUUGUCCACUUAGAGCAUACUGCUAUUUGUGCAUGUUAACUAGUCCAAUUGUUAAAAUCCCUAGAGUUAAAAUAAUUAAUCGAAUCCUGCUCACAUAACUGAGAAGGGGCUUUAAUGUUCAUUAAACUCAAUGCUUCUGUCUAUAUUAACAUUGCAAACUGAGGAAAGAAACCAAGAUCCCUCUCUAUUUUGGUGAGAUUCAUCAAUUAUUUCUCCGCCAUAUACUAAACCACUCUGAUGCUGAUAAUAUUCUUUUAAGUUUUAACGGUCAUUUUUUCCAAUUUAAAUCUAGUGUUAAGUGAUAGAGAAAUUAUAUUGUAUUACUGUUGGUGGGUUUUAAAACAUGAGCAAAAAAAAUGAUUAAUUUCGACAAAUAAGAAGGAGCUUGGGUUAAGAUUGUGACAAAACCCCUUUAGUUGCAAAAUUCAGAAAAUAUUUAGGUAAAUAAAUUACCUGGUGGCUGGCUUCCAUCCUCUUGUUUAUUAAUUUCAAAGCAGCUUCCAGCCUCAGUGCAAGAAAUGGUUGUGGAUUCUGAAGAACUUGACCCAUCAUUAAUAUUACUCUCACAACCUUCUGAAGCUGCAGUAAUAUAGGCAUCAUCGCAGCUGCUGCUUGAAACUUCAUAAAUUUUCUCUUCAGUUCUGGAACUAUUGAUCAUAAUCAUUUUGCUUUCCUGCUGCUUCUUCUUUUUCUUCUUUAAUGGAAAAGCACUUUGAAGAUGCUUUGGUGCAUAGUUGAUAAGAGUUCCUCUUAGCCUGUACCUUGAUCCACAUGCAUUGCAAAGCACUGGUUUCUCAGGGGGUCCAUUUCGCCAAAGUGGAGUCCCUGUUCACUCCUUGUAUCACUCACUAACACACAUAUCUUAAAUAAAAAAUAAAAAAUAAAAGCUGGUUUGUCCAAAGUUGGUGCCCAAACAUGCAAAAUCCUAAACGACGUGGUUUUGAUUUUGCCCAUUUAGGCACCCAAAUGAACGCCCGCACUUCAUAAACUGCCGAGUUAGCAUUAUGAUACAAAAUUACGGGUAUCCGUACUUAAAAAUGACCGAUGGAUUUAUAUGUAAUUUAUGGAGAUUAUUAUGUUACAUAAUCAUUACGGGUAUACAUAUAUGAUUAUGUAGUAGCCUCCAUCCAACGGUUGUAGAAAUAUAAGAUAAAAUUAUAUUAUUUUCACAACUGUUGGAUGGAAUUCAUCAAACGGCUGUUAUAUAAUCAUGUAUACAUAAUAAAAGCCGUAAUUUAUGAAAUGAUAAAUUAAUUAAUAUAAUAGAACAAAAAACUCACUUUCAGUUCCACAAUGGAAACAAGGUCCUCGUUUUCCCAUGCAAGCAUGUAGUGUUUAAAUCGUGUUCCAAAUCUUCGUUCACAGCCAAUAAUAAUCCAACAAAAGAAAAAUAAAAUAAAAUAACCAAGUAAAAUAUAUAUAUUAUACGGUGCAAACCAUUGUAAUUUAUUUAAAUCUUUUAAUUUAUUAGUGCAAGAUAAUGAAUAAAAGAUAAUAUGACCCUUACCAAAUUUUAGUACUUUUACUCUCUGAAUAAUUGUCGAAAUUUCAAUUCAGAAUAAGAACAUAAGAAAAUUGAAUCUAUUGGAGAAGACUGGUAGAGAUGGAGGAUGAUGUGGAAAUGGGUGAAGCCCUUGUUUUUUUUAUGCGUCCAAAAUUUAUUCACUUUCCCAAAAUGGUUAAAAGAUUAGCAAUUUAUGUAAUGAACUGGAAUAAAUACAUUCAAACCAGUAAUUUUGUCUUAUAAAAAAAGGAUCCAAAUUAAGAAUAUUUAUUAAGUAAAAAAUCUAGAGUGUAGAUUUGUCAAAAUUAAAAAAUUGCUCUGGAUAAUCGCUACAAUAACAUAAUUUUCUUCUUGUUUAUUAAAAUUUAAAAUUUUGAUUUUGAUUUUUUUAAAGAGUAAUUUUGUUAAUUAAAUAAUACUAACUGACAUUACAAUGCCACAUCGUGCCUACAAUAGGAUAGCUCCAAAUAAGGGAGUCAAGAUAAGUAAUCUAAUAAAUUUAUAAAGCCAGACUAACAUGCUAGAUUAAGGUCUCGUUCGGAAUUGAGCUGCUAUGGAAAAAAAGUUGUAACUAUCAAAUAAAAAUUAAUAAUAUACAGUAAAUACAAAUUUUAAAUAAUAAUUAUGAAAAAAUAUUAAAGAUAUAAUAUAUUUUUCAUUAUACAAGUGAAAAAUUAUAUCAAUAUAGCUUACAAGUUACAACAGCUAGUGUUUACUAAAUCCUUUAAUGUUGUAACUUUUAAAGUACAGUUGUAUAAUCUCAAUCUCAAACACACGCUAACACUUGACUUUCAGAACAAACUGCCUUUAGGGUGAGUAAGCCCAACUUUAACUGGAUGGACCUAAUCCAAUUCAACUCAAUCCAAUUAAAUUGACAUAAAUUGAUUAUGUUAUAAUGAGUUAAUUGGAUUAUUAUUUUUUUUCAGCUCAAUUGAUGAUUGGGUUAGGUUGAAUUCAUAUUCUUAUAUAGUUUAGCCCAAACCAAAAUUUCUGAAAAUCAUAAAAAAACUAAUGUCAACUAUUCGCUAUUAAACUAUAAAUAACUAAACUUACCAUUUUCACUGAAAGUAAGUUAAUAAAUAUUCAAAUAUUGGGCCAUGUUAUUUAUUAAUAAAUGUUAGAUACAAUGGAUAACAUUUAAUGUUAUGAUGGAAAAUUAACAUAUAUUUUUCAUUUGCGAAUUUGAUUUUAAGUAACAAAUAGUUUCUUUAAUUUUUUAAUUUUAAUCAAUCCAAUGAUUUAAGGGUUGGAUUAAUUGGUGUUCGGGUUGGAUUUUUCUGAUAGCAUCUAGAAAUAGAGUCAGCAUUAAUCUACUCAGAAUUUAUUACCGUUGAGCAAACCUCAUAAGUACAACUUGGAGCCUAUGUUGGCGACCUGGUUUAUAAGUACAACCUAAGAUUUAUGCAAACGACCUAAUUUAAGAAUACAACUUUAAGCCUAUGUGAGCGACCCGAAAAUUCACCAAUCCGAUCUGGAAGUAUGUAAGAUAGUCUGACCUGGAAAUUCAUUUGUUUGACCUGAGAACUACUUGAGAUGGAAAAUUACUAAUCGAGAUAAUGUGGCCUAAUUUUUAGGAAAGUUGUAUGCCACGAUUUGUUAAACCACCUCCAAUUAAUGAGCACUUGCAACUGCUGAAGAAAGUGGGCUAAAGUUAAGGCGGUAACCGCCCCCGACAAAGGGCCUAUUUAAGCCGAAGAGGGCAACAGAGGAAGGGUUAGCAAAAUCAACCAAAAAUUAUACAAGUCACUUAUCUAAAAGCCUCUUUAUUUCCUACAAGACUUUCAACACCUCUGCCGAAAAAAUUCCUUGAUUUUAACUUAUUCUCAAUUCUUCCAUCCCGUUUUUCUUUCCUUAUAUACAAUUUCUGACUUAAGCAUCGGAUGGUCUACGCCGGAACCCCACCGGCAUAUCCUAAUCGUGUUUUUUGGUUGGCAGGUAUAGAAAGUUGUGAUCAGACUGACGUUUGAGCUUGGAUUCAUGUUGUUUUUCCCCAAAGAAAACAUUCAUCUGUUGAUGUCGUUUUUUGGCAUCAACAUCGUGGCGCCGUUUGUGAGGAAUGAUGCGAAAAGUCAUACAUUUGAAGAUUUAGAGGGAGAAGACUAUCAGAUUAGGAAACAGUGAUGGAUGAUAAUGACGGAGAAAUGCAGACCUUGUGCCAAUUGGCGGAGGAAAUGAAUGCCACGGCAGAUAAGAGAUGGAGAGAAUGGAUCGAGAGGCAAAUGGAAAGAUUUGAAGAGAUGAUCAAGGGGUUGGUUGAUGCCCAAGUCAGAGGGCCUCAAGUUUGAAUUAAUGAUCCAGAGAGUAGUGGAGUGCGGGAGAGGGAAGAGCUUGGUGGUCAACAGCAGAGCAGAAUAGGACUACCACAAGUUGGGGUACGAUAGCAUAACAGAAGUGUAGGAGAACAAGUGAACAAGUUGAGGAGGAGAAUCAAUGACCUGAAUCAUGAAAAAGAGAGAGAAGAGUUGAGAAACCCCCAACGGGCAAAUGAGCUUGAGCAGAGAAUGUUGCAAUUUAAAAAAAAACUAGAGGCAUUAGAGGCGAAAACGGAGGGCAAGAAAGUGGUAGGAAGAUUGUUACUUAAUGACGAAUACCCCUUGAUAACUAAGGUGAUGGCGGUAACUUUGCCAACCAAGUAUGUGGUUCCAGUCGUGGUGUAUGAAGGAAAAACUGACUCGAAUCAUCAUGUGGAGAGUGUUAAUGAGAUGAUCGGGAUUCAAGGUUUGAAUGAUUUUCAAAGGUGUCGUGUUUUUCCCUUAACUCUAUAAAGACAGGAACGAGAGUUGUUGGGUAAUAAAUAUUAAUGCUAUUGGUGUCAAUGUGCAAGUGUACACAAUAAGUAAUAAAGUGAUGAGUAUUCAAGAUCGUCUUCACAGAGAUUGAUGUUAUUAGAUUUGCUACAGCAAUCUUAACAGUGCAGAUUUUGUGCUAAAAUAAAAUAAAACACUUAGUGAAACUAUUAUACUAAUUAAAAUAAACAAGCAAUAAAUAAAAUGCAACAAAAUAGAUUAUCACGUCAAACUCAAGGAUAAAAACAAUGAGAAUAUAGAGUAGUUGAGUGAAUAAACUCUCUUAAUGGUCUUGACUAUUUUCUAAUGUUUGGCUCGGUUGCUGCAGCAUCUGCUACAGCACUGGGCAGAAUCCUUAUGUAUCCUCAGCCGUCGCCUGUUGGAUAUCUUAUAUCUAUAUGCAACCUAACAGUGAUCAGUUGCUAUGCCAACAUAAGAUAUAGCAUUACACGCUUAGGUUCUAUUUACCCUACAAGGUGAAUCCUUAUGUCUAGUUCAUCACUAAUCUUAAAUCAAGCAUGGCCCUUUUGGGACUCAAGUAAAACUCAAUUCGGGAAACUCAAUUUAAGAUCAAGUAUUAUUCUGAUAUGUUCCACUAAGAUAGGCCCUUUUGCGGCUUUUCAUUAGCUAGUAUCAUUAAAUGGGUGAUCAACCGAAAUAAUGAAUAAAAUAAAUACUAUCAAAACAAACUGCUAUAGUAAACAUGCAGCAACACAUAUUUCCAGUCAAUAAACCAUCAAGAUUGUUUAUCACUCAAUUACAAAUAAAUUUAGUUCAUGAUUUGCAAAAGAAAAAUAAAGAACAAAGUUUUAGCCAUGAAACACAUCCUCAUAAAUAAAUAGAAAACGAGAAAACAAGAGAAGAAUAAUAAAGAUUGAGCUCUUAAUUGAUUUCUGCAAAUUCUCCUCUUGUGCAACCCUUAAUUUCUCUCUUGAAUCUUGUUUUUUCUUUUGUUUCUUUGUGUUUUCUCCUUGGGUGACGGCUCUCUCCUCUUCCUUAUGAUGUGUGCUUCUUUUAUAGUUGAAAAUUAGGGUAAACGGAAGCCUAGGGUGCGCAUAAGUUAGAUUAGGAAACUGCAGAUCGCAAUUCUGCAAGUAUCCCGCAUGGAAUUUUCUCUGUCGUUGUUCCAGGAUUGCUACAGCAACGGCUACAGCAACUGCACUGUUCCAGAUUUGUUUCAAUUCUUUUGUAGCUAAGUUCUUCCUCAUUUUUGCAAGCCUAUUGCAUCAACAUUCCUUCCAUGAAUUAUAAGCUUAUGGAAACCUACAAUUAUGCACACAAUUUAAGCACGAAUUACUUUAAAUUAAGCAAAACUCAUUAAGACUAAACUAAAAUGAAUAUUUAUGCAAAAUGUAACAAAAAUGCAAUAGAAUCACAUCAUUUACUCUCUAAGUAAUAUUAAUUUAAGUCUAAAAGUGCUAUGAUAACUCUCAUUUCAUAGAGUUAUCAGGAGUCGUAACGGAGAUUAAAGAAGGGAAGCAUAUGAAAUUUCAAAGAGUUAUGUGAGCUUUUCGCCGUGUAUUUUAGAGGUUUGCGCAUACCAGAACAUGAUACAAACAGGUUGAAAAAAUUGGUCCAAGGAGAAUUUGAAAGUUUGAGGAGCUUCAUGACCAGGUAUCAUAAAGAAGUCACCGAUUUAGGGGCCUUUGAUCAUUUGAAUGCCCUGAAAGGAUUAAAGAAAGGGUUGAGAAUAAAUCAAUUGUGGAAUAACUUAUAUAGUAAAAGGAUAACAACAUACACUGAGGCAUACGACCAUGCAAAAUUGGAUAUGAAAACUGAAGAUAUAGAGGAAGAAAAGAGUAAAAUAGAAGAGCAGAGAGAAGGUUCAGUGAGAAGGGGAGACCCAAGAAGGAGGGAAGAUAACCUUGGGUAUACCUUGAUGAGGAACAUGGAUGAUAGGCAUCAUUAUGACGGAGGGUUGUUCAAUUACAGAUGACCAGAGAGGCCGGCUCGAGAUUGAGAAAGAAAUCGUGAAAGAAGAGAAAUCUCAUUAGUAGGUAGGGGGCCGAAAGAAAUGAAAUAAUUAUAAGAGGAACCAGUGGGAGAACCGAGUAAGAGAGUAUAACAAGUUGCUUUUCACUUAGUAAAGAUGUUUACUUUUCUUCCUUGUCUUGUUAGGUAUAUGACUUGAUUGAAAAGGGUGAUCACGUAUCGGAUACUUUGCGAUGGUUAUCGCAUGGGCCUCUUCCUUUUGUAACUAAACAUAAUGGUUAUGACAUUAAUGGUUUCCAUUUUAUUACACGAGAUCGAGACUCAAGUCGACUAACUCAAAAUAGUGGAGUUAGUGUAGGUGAUUCUGAAAUAUGUGAUAUGACAUAUUAUGGAGUUAUAGAUGAAAUUUGGGUACUUGACUAUCAUUUGUUGAAAGUCACUGUGUUGAAGUGUGAUUGGGUUCAAAGUAGUUGCGUCAAGAAGGAUGAGCUUGGAUUCAUUUGAUUGAAUGUUAUAUAGUUUUAUAUUAUCAGUUAACUGAUGCAAUUUAAUUUACUUAUUUCAGGUGCAGUAAUAUGGCUAAGGGAAAACAUGUAGUGGCUGAUGUUGCUUCUGAUCAGGAAGCUUAUUUGGAAGACGAAUACGACGACUUAUUUGCCGAGGUAGAUAAUUUAGCAGAUGCAGAAAACGUGGCUCAUUUUGAUGGUGCUGAGAUGGAUGGUGUUGAGUUUGAUGGAGGUGAUAAUGAUGGUGCUGAUUUGGAUAGAGGUGAUUUUUAUGGUGCUGAGAUGGAUGGUGUUAAUUUCGUUCCUCCUGAUGUUGAUGUUCCUGAAAGCAGUAACUCUAGGAGAGGUGUAAAUAUGGGAGCUAGGCAAAAUAAAAGACUUAAAACAAAGAAGGGAAAGAUUGUGGUACAAUACAAUGAAAUGGGCAUUCUAGCAGGCGAUGAAGCCACUGAGUUGGCUUCGUUUAUUGGGGUAUUAGCUCGUACAUCAGUUUCAAUUCUCUAUUCCGACUGGCGUAAGGUUCAGCUAGAGACAAAAGAGCGUUUGUGGAAAUCUGUUCUGGUAAUUCUUAAAAAUCCACUGCAUUCUACUUAAUCAUUUCGCUGUCAUUUUUCAAUUAUGUACUUUAAUGUAACAAAAUUUUUAUUAACUGUCACUUAAACAAUCUUCCUCUUAUCUAGGGUCGUUUCAUUGUUCAUCCUAGAAGUAUGAAGCAGGUGAUACAAUCACAACAUUUCGGAACUUCAAGUAUAUGCUGGCAAAAAACUAUAUCUGGAAUUGCAGAAAUGAUAAAAAGAAAUUGUAUGCACCCCCAAUUGAGUACCUUAAAAUAAAACGUCCUAUUUGGAUAAAGUUUGUCGACCAAUGUUUGUCGGAAUCUUUUGAAGUAAGUAUUUUCAAGUUAGGACAAGUAAUAUGUUAGUACUUACAUUAUAUUUACCUUGUGUUAUAACUAAUCUAAUUACGUAGAAAAUCAAUCGUGUCAAUAAGAACAUGAGAGCUUUGAACAAGUGCAAUCACCGCUUUAGUCGAAAAGGAUACGUUGGAUUAAUGAAAGAAAUUGUAAGUGUGUUAAAUAUUUAAAUUGUUAAUGAAAUAAUUUAUAUAUCAGUUAAGCACGUCAAUUUUUUGAUUUGUUAAAUAUUUUUUAAAGGUUUGUUUUUCACUUAGUUAACUAUUAAAUUUUGUAACAGUUAACUAAUCUAAUUUCUUUAUCGAAGUAGUGCGCAGAAUUAGGGCUUUCUGAAGAGUUAAUUGACAUGAGUGAACUAUGGAAGAGAGCUCGGAUGCUAAAGAAUGGAGGAUACGACUUUGAAACCGAACAGAUCAUUAAGAAAAUGGUAAUCAAGUUUAACUAGAACAAACAGAGUUUUUGAGGUCUGAUCUAUGCUCAUUUAAUAAUAUUAGUUUCUUUAUGGUGGGCUAUUAGGAAAUGCUAGAGAAGGAGGACAAAAAAGACUCAUACAAUUCAGAUGCAAGAAAUGACUUACUUGCACAAGCAUUGGGAAAGCUUCCUCGAACUGGUCAUAUGCAAAGCUUCGGCAAAUUUAUUUAUGCUUCGUAUGUACUUUCACUGCAUGCGUGGACCCAUCCGCAAUGAGAGAGAGAGAGGGAGCUGGAUGCUUGGAAAAAAUCAGUAGAUGAACAGUUGCGAGAAAUUUGCAAAGCAUUGAAGAGGACACCUCGCCAUUCAGAUGUUGGAAGUUCCACUUUCCCACAUAAUAUGGUCGAUGAUGACAGUGAGGGAGAUAUACAUAAGGUACUUUAGUUAUCUGUGUUACCCAAAUUUUUCCUAGUUUAAGUAUUUUUCCUUGUAUAUCUUCCACUCAUUAGAGUUUAAAUUAUUUAGUAUUUGUCAAUAAUGCUGACAGGAGCUGGAUAAUUUAGGGAAGUCAGCUGUGAAGAAGAGGAAAUGAAUGUUUGGUCAAAGGGAUGAACAUCCUAAAGCAUCAACACUAAGAAAGAAGGAAGAAGUUCAGAAGAAAGAAGAGCCACCAAAAAACACAAAUGUUGCCAUUCCGAUGAAGUCAGCCAAAAAUGAUGACAAUGAAAAUGACAAUGAAGGAGAUGCACAUAAGGUUAGUUCAAUCAUAAUAAAUGGUUGUAUUUUUCCUAGAUUAUGAUUUAUUGCCUUGUAUAUUUACUAUUCAAUCUAGUUUAAUAUACUUACUAUUUCAUAUAAUUAAUCUUCGCAGGAGGUAGAUAAUUUGGGCAAGCCACCAGCAAAUGCCGCUGCUGCCAUUCCGGUGAAGUCAACAAAAAAUGAAGGCAGUGAAGGAGAAGUGCAUAAGGUUAGUUAAUAAAUUAAAUUGUAUUUAAGCUACUUUUGACUUUGUAUGUUGUGCAAAUUUUAUUGAACUCGCAAGUGCACGAAUCUAUUGUAGAAUAGAUCAAUGGUGACGAGUGUCGAUCCCACGAGGAGGUGGAUUUUAAUUGUGUGUAGAAUCAAUUUUUCUAAAUGGGUGUUGGAUUUAUGGUGAAAGUGACUUAGAUUAUCCUAAAAUUGGAAUUGAAAUGGCGAGAGUAAAUUGAAGAGAAAUCUAUUGAAAUGACGUACUUGGGUAUCUGGAUCCGUAUCAACAUGCACCAUGUACUAAAUAUUCCUUAUUAAUGCCAAUUAAAUCAUGAGGGGAGAAUCCACACCUCAUGAACCACACUCUAAUCAAUAUGGUGCUAAGGGCUUAUCGUGCCAAAUAAUAAUAACCUUGUACUAGAGAGCCGGUAAAACCAAGGCGGUAUCUAGACAAGAUUAUUAUUAUUUGUCGACGAGAAGUCAAAACAUCCAUAAAAACUAGAGGGGAAGAGAAAAUAAAUUUACCAAAUAAAGCCCAUGACACAUGUUGAGACUUCACCUUCAACCCAAGCUUGAAAGAAAAUUAGCUACUCAUAAUUGAACUAGGGGCAAAAUGGAAAUUUAUUGAAAUACGUAGAAAAUAUAAGAUGAAGAAGGAAUUACAGAAAAUGGAGUCCAAAACUGGAUUCAGAGCUCUCAAAUUAGGGGAGAGAAGCCCAUUUUUUAUAGAUAAAUGGAGUAAAUCAUGACCAUCGGAUUAAAAAUGCUGUACCGUACAUCCGCCUUGGCCGUACAACUAGAGGGGAAGAGAAAAUAAAUUUACCAAAUAAAGCCCAUGACACAUGUUGAGACUUCACCUUCAACCCAAGCUUGAAAGAAAAUUAGCUACUCAUAAUUGAACUAGGGGCAAAAUGGGAAUUUAUUAAAAUACGUAGAAAUUACAAGAUGGAGAAGGGAUUACAGAAAAUGGAGCCCAAAAAUGGAUUCAGAGAUAUCAAAUUAGGGGGGGAGAGCCCCCUUUUUAUAGAUACAUUGAGUAAAUCAUGGCCAUCAGAUCAAAAACAUUUCGGACGCUCAGGAUUGCGCCACGUCAUCAGUCAACAGUACGCGGUUUGAACAGUAACACGGUUUGACCCAGCUUGAACAAUGACGCGGUUUGGUUGAAAAUAAUCCUAUGUAAUGCAUGUACCGUACGCGAGAUUUUUGGUCCACUGAUACGCUGCUACGUCACCAAUCAACAGUGCAUAAGAAUUUUAGUCCAACAGGAUCGUGACACCUCAUCAGUCAAUGCCACAUCAUCGGUCAAUGCCACGUCAUCGAUCCGUAUAUGUGAACAGUGUCGUGAACAGUAACGUAGAUAAUAUCGUACAUGUGAAUAGUACUGUACAUGAGAACAAUUCUAUUUUUCCUUUUAUGCUCCUCCUAAGGUUUUCGACCGUCCAGAAUUCAAAAGUGAUGUAUGUUUUUUCGUCUGAUCUCUCGUUCAUUGUGAAAUGACUAUGAUGCCCCUAAAAUACAUAAAAUACUUAAUCUGCUGUACCGUACAUCCGCCUUGGCCGUACAGCAGGCUGCUUUUGAAUACCUUAUUGUUUACAGAAAGCAAGAAACUCGCCGUCUGUAUAUUCUCUACCAUUAUCUGUCCUCAAGCACUUGAUUCUUCUCCCGGAUUUAAGUUCAACCCACGCUUUAUAAUGUUUGAACACUGAAAAUACAUAUGACUUUUUCUUAAUUAGAUACACUCAACAUCUCCUGGAAUAAUCAUCAAUGAAAGUCACCAUGUACUUUACACCUUCCAUGGACAUAUCCGGUGAUUCCCAAACAUCAGAAUAAAUCAAGUCUAAAGUGCAUUUACUUCUAGCAAUAGAUACACUGAACUUUAAUCUAUGCUGCUUACUUAUAACACAAUGCUCGUAAAAUGGUAAACUUACAGAUUUGAGCCCCGAAAGUAAUUUUCGCUCAGAGAGAAUCUUCAAAACUUGUUUUGACAUAUGGCCAAGUUUGAGAUGCCACAUCAUCGUUGACUCUUCUCCAUUUGAAGCGACACAUGCAUCAGCCUCAUGUAGUGUUUCUCCUUUAAGCAUGAAUAGAUUAGCACCGAUCUAUUCUGCCUUAAUCAAUACAAGCGCGCUUUUAACAAUCUUCAUAAUUACAUUCUCCACAUGAGUUUUGUACCCAUGAUUGUCUAUUUGUCCUAGAGACAAUAGAUUCUUCUUUAGGCCAUUAACAUGUUAUACCUCCUCAAUUGUGCGAAUUAUACCAUCAAACAUUUUUAUUUUGAUAAUACCAAUACCAGUGAUCUCCAAGGCAUGAUCAUCUCCCAUAUAAACAUAUCAUCUCGAGAUAGGUUCAUAUGUGUGGAGCCAUUCUCUCCGAGAGGUCAUAUGCCAGGUAGCUCUUGAGUCUAUAAGCCAGACAUCAGAUAGUCAUUUUCUUCCUUCUGAAACAGUUGUUGCCUCACUGUAGAUAAUUUUGCCAUCAUCUAAUGUACUUGCUACACACCCCUGAGCAUUUGAUGACUCAGGUUCUUUGCCCUCUUUUCUCUUUUGGUUACUCCAACACGCUUUCUUAACGUGCCCUUUCUUGCCACAGUUGUAGCAGUUGAUAUUCUUCUUACUUCUGGAUUUUGAUCUACCAUGAUUGUGACCCCCACUGGGGCCACGUUUUGUUGAUCUCCCUCUCGUCACCGAUAGCUCCUCCGCUUACUGCGAACUUACUUGUCUGUUUUCCUUAUUUUUCUGCCUGCUCUCCUUAUUUAAUACGGAGACUGUAACAUCGACAAAAACCAGACUGUCUGCUAAAUUAUUGUUCGUCAGGUUGAUGAUGAGUUGAUCAUUCUACCCUCCAACCUAUUCUAAACAUGAAAGGAAAAUAUGCAUGCAGAAAUGUGAAAAUGAUGCAGAAAAACUAAUUAGAAAAGUUACACUUAAAAUGAUAGAAAAAAAAAUGGUUUUUUUUUUAACUAAGAAGAUGCGUUUCUAGAGGCACUACACUCCAUAUUCAGCCAUCUUCAACUCAAAAAUUUAAAAAUGUAUAUUUAUAAAGGAGAAAUUAAAAAGAGGAAGAACAAUGAAUGUCAAAGCUUAAUAAAGAAAAAGAAAAUGUCUGAUUUUUUUUGUCUUUUUUUAAAAAAUUUUUUUUUGUUUUUUCAAACGAUGAAAAUGCGUUUCUAGAGUCACUACACUCCAUAUUCAGCCAUCUUCAACACAAAAAGUUAGCAACAGUUAGUUUUUACAACAAAAAAUUAGUAAAAACUUAACCAAGAUUCCACAAUUGUCGACUAUCCCCUCCCCAACCAGAAAAAAACAUUGUCCUCAAUGUUUGAAAGGAAAAAAGUAGAGUUUAGAAGACCUGCUGUACGGCCAAGGCGGAUGUACGGUACAGCAGCCUCCUAAAGUUUUCGACCGUUCUGAGUUCAAAAGUGAUGUCUGUUUUGUCAUCUGAUCUCUUGUUUAUUGUGAAAUGACUAUGAUGCCCCUAAAAUACAUAAAAUACUUAAUUAAAAUAAAACAAACGGAAUUAAAUCAAAAGAAGGUUAAAUUCAUAAAAGUAAAGGUGUUAGUAAAACUUGUAGUGUAAAAUNNNNNNNNNNNNNNNNNNNNNNNNNNNNNNNNNNNNNNNNNNNNNNNNNNNNNNNNNNNNNNNNNNNNNNNNNNNNNNNNNNNNNNNNNNNNNNNNNNNNNNNNNNNNNNNNNNNNNNNNNNNNNNNNNNNNNNNNNNNNNNNNNNNNNNNNNNNNNNNNNNNNNAAAUUUUUUUUUUUUUUGCUUUUGUUUGACAUAACUUUACUGAACAAAAUAAUUAUUUACAUUUUUCUCAAACAUAAAUAAGUGAUGGAUUGGGUAAUACUCCAAAUCGGAGUGGGUCAAGAUGAUAAGUUUGACAAAGAAAAUAUUUAUUUUUUUAUUUUUUUUCUCAAAAGGGUUAACUAUUGAUAUUUCAUAAAAGGGAUGGCUAGAAAGGCUCAAACGAAUCAAAGAUGACCUUUCCAUCGUCUUUUAGGGCUCUAAAUAAUCAUCUAUAUCUACUAGUUAGAUGAGCCUACAAAUGUAGCAACACACAUUUUUUUUCUUUUUUUUUUAUAUUUUACAAUUUUUUUUAAGGGUUAACUCAAAAGAAAUCUAGAGAUCGUGUAUAAAAUAAUAAACUGCUAAGCUGUAUAAAGAAUGGGCAAAAGAAAUUAAACCCAAUAAAAAUAGUCACUCCAAUGAAUGAUAAUUGAGAGAAAAUAAUAAAGAAGUGAUAUCACACGCUCUCACCAAGAUGAAAGAAAUAUGCCCUCAGCUUAGAAAUAAUACGAUCUCAAGUCAAAUAAAAAUGCUAGUCAACCUAAUUUUUUUUUAUGCACCACUACAUCUUUUUAGCCCAUAUAACUAGCUUCUACUUUAGACUAUAGUUCCUUAAAAUCAAGAAGGACUUUUAUUAGAACGUAACGUAGGUUAGGGACAUGGCUAACAAAAGAGGGGAAAUAAGGAAAACAAAGUGUAUAUUUGAGAAAAAUGUAGAAUUUUUUUUUUUUGGAAGUUGCAAAGUGGAUUUCACCUAUUAUUGUUUUUUUUAAGCAACAAUUUAUUAUUAUUAUUUUUUUUUAAGCAACAAAUUUUUUUUUUUUUUGCUUUUGUUUGACAUAACUUUACUGAACAAAAUAAUUAUUUACAUUUUUCUCAAACAUAAAUAAGUGAUGGAUUGGGUAAUACUCCAAAUCGGAGUGGGUCAAGAUGAUAAGUUUGACAAAGAAAAUAUUUAUUUUUUUAUUUUUUUUCUCAAAAGGGUUAACUAUUGAUAUUUCAUAAAAGGGAUGGCUAGAAAGGCUCAAACGAAUCAAAGAUGACCUUUCCAUCGUCUUUUAGGGCUCUAAAUAAUCAUCUAUAUCUACUAGUUAGAUGAGCCUACAAAUGUAGCAACACACAUUUUUUUUCUUUUUUUUUUAUAUUUUACAAUUUUUUUUAAGGGUUAACUCAAAAGAAAUCUAGAGAUCGUGUAUAAAAUAAUAAACUGCUAAGCUGUAUAAAGAAUGGGCAAAAGGGUUACUCNNNNNNNNNNNNNNNNNNNNNNNNNNNNNNNNNNNNNNNNNNNNNNNNNNNNNNNNNNNNNNNNNNNNNNNNNNNNNNNNNNNNNNNNNNNNNNNNNNNNNNNNNNNNNNNNNNNNNNNNNNNNNNNNNNNNNNNNNNNNNNNNNNNNNNNNNNNNNNNNNNNNNNNNNNNNNNNNNNNNNNNNNNNNNNNNNNNNNNNNNNNNNNNNNNNNNNNNNNNNNNNNNNNNNNNNNNNNNNNNNNNNNNNNNNNNNNNNNNNNNNNNNNNNNNNNNNNNNNNNNNNNNNNNNNNNNNNNNNNNNNNNNNNNNNNNNNNNNNNNNNNNNNNNNNNNNNNNNNNNNNNNNNNNNNNNNNNNNNNNNNNNNNNNNNNNNNNNNNNNNNNNNNNNNNNNNNNNNNNNNNNNNNNNNNNNNNNNNNNNNNNNNNNNNNNNNNNNNNNNNNNNNNNNNNNNNNNNNNNNNNNNNNNNNNNNNNNNNNNNNNNNNNNNNNNNNNNNNNNNNNNNNNNNNNNNNNNNNNNNNNNNNNNNNNNNNNNNNNNNNNNNNNNNNNNNNNNNNNNNNNNNNNNNNNNNNNNNNNNNNNNNNNNNNNNNNNNNNNNNNNNNNNNNNNNNNNNNNNNNNNNNNNNNNNNNNNNNNNNNNNNNNNNNNNNNNNNNNNNNNNNNNNNNNNNNNNNNNNNNNNNNNNNNNNNNNNNNNNNNNNNNNNNNNNNNNNNNNNNNNNNNNNNNNNNNNNNNNNNNNNNNNNNNNNNNNNNNNNNNNNNNNNNNNNNNNNNNNNNNNNNNNNNNNNNNNNNNNNNNNNNNNNNNNNNNNNNNNNNNNNNNNNNNNNNNNNNNNNNNNNNNNNNNNNNNNNNNNNNNNNNNNNNNNNNNNNNNNNNNNNNNNNNNNNNNNNNNNNNNNNNNNNNNNNNNNNNNNNNNNNNNNNNNNNNNNNNNNNNNNNNNNNNNGUGAUAAGUGCCUCUAGUGUUGCAAGAUCUCCUGGAAGGAAAAGAAAAGCAUCAGCAUGAUUAAGCAUUUCAGUUAUUCUUUCUUACAUACCUGAGACGACUAACUCUUCUCCAUUCGGUGAGUCGGACAAACUGCCCAAAGGUUUUAGGGCUCUCGGGAUGAUGCCUAACACUUGACUUCCUCUGAUAAAAGCAGCUUUUGUGACCAAUUUUGAUAACUCUCGGUUACCUCCUCCAUACACCACGUGGAAUUUUCUCUCUGCUAUGCUUCGACCAAGAUCUAUGGCUGCCUCAACGAACUCUUUAUGUUUGUCAUAGUUAAAUCCAGAAAGCACACAAAUGUUCUUGAAUUGUCUAUUGGGAGUAGUUGCUAUUGGGAUACUUCUAAAAAAUAAUUUGUGAGUGCUUGACAAAAAGUCAUAUUUAAGAAUCUUGGUGACAGUGGGUCACAACUGUGUAUGAGAUGGCAUGUCAGUGUCAAAUCAUGCGUAAAGCACAUGGCUCGCGAGUAAAAAAAGAAACAGUAAAAAGAAAAAGAAACAAUGAUAAGAUAAAAUUAUUAAAGACAAUAAUGUAAAUGAUAAAACAACAGUGAGAUAAAAUAACAGUAAAGUAAAAGGAUAUUUACAAGUAGUUACGACUGUGGCUCACAUCUUCCUCUGGUUUUACGUCUAGAAACAGCUUAAACGCCCUCUAUGGGUCGAGGAUAGGCGUCCCAUCCAGUUUUCUUAUAAACUGACAAACAGGGUCGUUUAUAGUCAGAUUCCCGAGACUGCAUGCUCUUUCUGGAAUAAUGGUCAUAACUGGAGAAUCGCUCCUUGCACAUAUCCACUGGGAUGCGUUUCAAGAGACAAAAGGAUAUCAUCCAAUGACUUCUUAUUCAAGCCAUCCCUAAUGAAUUGAAUCUUAUCUUCCAUGUUAUCAGACAUCAUUCCUAAAGAACAUGGGUUUUUAUCGCAACUCAUUCUGGCACACUUAUGACAAGCAACAAAAAUUCUUCGAGCUCUUCGUUUUCUUGUAUAAUUUCCUUUACCACAACCAGGCAUGUAUGCAAUAAAUUUUGGAGGCAACUCACUUGCUAAUCGUACUUUAGCCUCGAUUAACCAACGGAUGUCAGCAGGUAUGUUAUUCCUCAUGAGCAAUCGCAUGCGUUCGGACCGAGCUUUAUAGAUUGUAAAGAGGACAUUCUGAGAAAGUGAAGGGAAUCGCUUGUGAAGCUUUGCUAAGAUCUCAUUUCUGUCCAUACCUUCGCCUCAGAAUAUCAGUUAUUAUGGGAAACUGAAGUAACCGACUUGAUUGUCACGGAGUACCGUUAUCCACCACUUCACCGGGGUAACAAACUAAAGCACACAAAUAAAGAAAAACAAACUAAAACACGUAAAGAAAAUUACAAUCGUCCUCUUAUUGAAUUUACCUCAAGCUCCAACUGGAUGUUGUACACACUUCUCUCAAUGUCUCUGAGUUGGCUUUCUAAAUCCUCAACAAAGGAUACUAACUCUGGUGGUUACAGAGCCCAAAUAUGAUGUGUCUUAUAAAAUCGAAUCUACCUUUUGAGAUGAGAUUUUACACGUUGAAGUGGUUUAAGAAUGUCCAGGAGGAACUAUUUAGAUAUGGCACUUAUGAUUAACAAUGAUAAGAGAAAACUUAAUGGUUAAACAAACACACUUAUGCAAAAAUAAUUUCAAUUAGCAAAAGAAUAAUAAAAAGAAAGAAAGAAAGAAAAAUCAAAUCACCGAAAAGAAAGAAAAAACUUAAUUCAAAUCUGGUGGGUCACUCAAAUUUAUUUCGGUGUCCUCUCCAUGUGGUUGGUACUCUAGAUAUGGCUUUAAUCUUUGACCAUUAACUUUAAACGUGACAUCGUUCUUUGGGUCCUUAAUUUCAAUUGCCCCAUGUGGAAAAACAGUAUGAACAAUAAAUGGGCCAGACCAUCAAGAGCGUAACUUACCUGGGAAUAGGUGCAAGUGAAAUUGAAUAAAAGCACUUUCUGACCUAGAGUGAAAGAUUUUCUCAUAAUGUGCUUGUCAUGAAAGACUUUCAUUCGCUGCUUGUAAAUCUUGGCAUUUUUGUAUGCAUCAUUGCAAAUUUCUUCAAGUUCUGCCAGUUGUAAUAUUCUUUUCCAUACACUAGCCUGUAGGGUGACAUCCCAAUCGGAGUCUUGAAAGCCGUUCUAUAUGCCCAUAAUGCAUCAUAAAGUUUUAAUGACCAAUCUUUUCUAAUAUGUGCUUUAUUUCUCGAUUGGAGAUCUCAACUUAGCCACUGGUUUGCGAAUGAUAUGGGGUCGCCACUUUGUGAGUGAUUGAAUACUUUGUCAAAAGAGCUUUGAAUGAUUUGUUACAAAAGUGGGCACCACCAUCACUGAUUAUCGCUCGAGGGAAUCCAAAGCGUGAAACAAUGUUGCUUUUCAAAAAUCCUAUCACCACCUUGUGAUCAUUGGUUCUACAUGGAAUUACUUCUACCCAUUUCGAUAUGUAGUCAACCGCAACCAAUAUGUAUUGAUGGCCAAAAGAAUAGGGAAAAGGACCCAUGAAGUCGAUACCCCACACAUAAAAAAUCUCAACCACUAAAAUUGGAUUUAAUGGCAUCAUGUUCCUUCGUGUAAUGCUCCCCAUUCGUUAUAUUCUGAAUUUCACUUUCUGGGACACAUCGUCUAACAAUUUGAUCUGCACAAUACUUGAACAAAUACGGGUCAUCCCAAAAUAAAUUAUUUAUUUCUGUAAAAAAUUUAGCUUUGUCUUGCUUGAUCCAAUGCUUUGGAAGUUGACCUGUAACAAGAUAAUUCACGAUAUCAACAUACCACGGUAAUACUUCCACACUCAUCAAUUGUUAAUCUGGAAAUGACUCAUUUAAUGGUAAUGAUUCUGUAAUUGUGUCAAAAUGGAGACGAGAAAGAUGGUCUGCCACAACAUUUUCUGUGCCUUUCUUAUCUUUAAAUUCCAAGUCGAAUUCCUGCAAAAGUAACACCCAACGAAUUAGUCUAGCUUUUGCAUCUUUCUUUGUGAGAAGAUAUUUAAGAGCAGCAUGAUCCGUGAAUACAAUUAUUUUACAACCAAUGAGAUAAGAUCGAAAUUUCUCUAAUGCAAACACUACUGCUAGCAUUGCUUUUUUAGUAAUUGAACAGUUCAACUGUGCAUUAUUCAAUGUCAUACUAGCAUAAUAAAUAACAUGGGGAAUUCGAUCAACUCUUUGUCCUAGUACUGCUCCUACUGCAUAAUCAGAUGCAUCACACAUUAGCUCAAAUGGUAAGUUCCAGUUUGGGGCCUGAAUGAUGGGUGAUGAUGUCAACAAUUGUUUUAAUUUUUCAAACGCCAUGAGACAUGAAUCAUUAAAGAUAAAAGGUACAUCCUUAGCAAGUAAGUUGCAUAAGGGUCUAGAAACUUUGCUAAAAUCUUUAAUGAAACGUCUAUAGAAACCAGCAUGCCCAAGGAAAGAUCUUACUUCUCUGACUGUUUUGGGUGAAGGAAGAUUAGAAAUGAGAUCCACUUUGGCUUUGUCAACCUCAAUACCUUUGCUCGAAAUGAUGUGACCGAGAACAAUACCUUGUUUUACCAUAAAAUGGCAUUUCUCCCAAUUUAAGAUCAAGUUCUUCUCGAUACAUCUCUGCAGAACUAGUGUUAGAUGAUGUAAACAUUGAUCAAACGAGUUGCCAAAGACAGAAAAGUCAUCCAUAAAGACUUCAAGAAAUCGUUCAACCAUAUCAGAAAAAAUACUUAACAUACAUCGUUGAAAUGUAGUAGGUGCAUUACAUAAUCCAAAUAUCAUCCUCCUAUAUGCAAAUGUGCCAAAAGGGCAAGUGAAAGUGGUUUUCUCUUGAUCUUUUGGUGCUAUGGGAAUCUGAUUAUAUCCCGAGUAACCAUCUAGAAAGCAAUAAAAUUCAUGGCCUGCUAAUCUAUCAAGCAUUUGAUCGAUAAAUGGUAAAGGAAAAUGGUCUUUACGUGUGACAGAAUUCAACUUUCUAUAAUCAAUGCAUACACGCCAUCUUGUAGUCACUCUAGUGGGUAUCAAUUCAUUAUCAGUAUUGGUAACUACUGUGACUCCUGACUUUUUGGGGACAACUUGUAUAGGACUGACCCAUGAACUAUCAAAAAUUGGGUAAAUGAUACCUGCGUCUAAUAGCUUAAGAACUUCAGUUCUAACAACUUUUUUAUUGUUAAGAUUUAACCAACGUUGCAUUUCCCUAGUAGGUUUAGCAUUUUUAUCAAGGUGAAUGUAAUAAAUGUAGUCUACUGGGUUUAUACUUUUUAUGUCCGCUAUGGUCCAUCCUAAUGCUCCUUUGUGCUCUUUUAAAACAUCCAACAACUUACCUUUUUGUUCGUCAUUUAGGGAUGAUGAGAUGAUAACCAGUAGAGUGCUUUCUUCUCCCAAAAAUGCAUAUUCCAAAGUGUUGGGUAAUGGUUUAAGCUCGAGUUUCGGUGGUGAUUCUGAUGAUGGGAUGAGUUUCUUCUCUGAUGGUGCUAGUUGUUCAACUCUUGACUUCCAUUUAUUGGUAUCCAUAGAUGAUGCUAAGUCAAGUAGAGCAUUGACCUCAUCGACUGAUCUGUCAAUAUCAAAAUCUAAACUAAAGUGAGUUAAACAUGUUUGUAAAGGAUCAUCACUAAAGUUUGAAAGAAAAGUAUUAUCAACUAAUGCUUCUAUUAAAUCAACAUCAACAAUUUUAUCAUCUGCAUCAUGAGGUUGUUUGGCAAUGUUGAAGAUGUUCAGCUCCAUAGUCAUGUUGCCGAAGGACAACUGCAUAUUUCCAGUCCUGCAUUGAAUGUGAGCAUCCGCAGUUGCCAAUAAAGGUCGGCCUAGAAUAAUGGGGAUGUGCUUCUUUGAAUCAUGUAUUAGUUGAGUGUCAAUUACAAUGAAAUCAACAGGAAAAUAAAACUUGUCUACCUGGAUAAGCACGUCCUCCACAAUACCACGAGGUAUUUUCGUGGACCGAUCUGUAAGUUGUAACACCACUGGAGUUGGGUGUAAUUCUCCCAGUCUAAGUUUCACAAAUAUUGAAUAAGGCAACAUAUUUACACUAGCUCCUAAAUCCAACAAAGCAUUCUCAAUUGUGUGGUUCCCUAUGCUACAUGAGAUAGUGGGGGAGCCUGGGUCUUUGCAUUUUAGAGGAAUUUUAUGUUGGAGUAUAGAACUAACGUUUUCUGUUAAAAAUGCCUUCUUUUGAACGUGAAUGUUUCUCUUUUUAAUACAAAGGUCUUUAAGAAACUUGGCAUAAGAUGGAACUUGCUUUAUAGUAUCAAGUAAAGGGAUGUUAACACUUACCUGUUUGAAGAUUUCAAACAUCUCACCUGUGGAUUUUCCCUUCUUUCCUUUAGCUAACCUCUGGGGAAAUGGACCUUUGUGAACAUAUUCUCGUGAGUUGGUUUCUUUUCUCUCCUCCGGCGAUGAGUCCUUAACAUCACAGGUACAAUUUGAUUUUCUUUUGUCACUGGUAUCUCCACUUUGUUGUCGACUUCUUUUCCUUUUCAUAAGGUCAUGAUUGCUUUGACCUCUCCAUGCUACUGUGGUGAACUGGUACUUGCUUCAUGUACUCCUUUAGGAUUAGGCACUGGUUGACUUGGAAAUUUACCUUUCUCAACAGUUAUUGCCAAGGUCUGAACUAAAGAAGCAAGUUGUCCUACCAUCUUCUCGAGGCUUGAAACUGAUUGGGCUUGUGAGUUGAAGCCUGCUCUCAACUCAUUUCGUAGUCCAUCAAUGGUGCGAUUCUGUUGCUCAAUCGUGGAGUGAGUAAAAUUCUUAAGAUUCUGGAAUGAAUCCUCCCAUGGUCUGGGUUGAGAGUAGUUCUGGUUCUGAUUGUAUGGUCUAAAUGGUGGCUGAGAGGCUUGAGGAAUUGGUUGCAUUGGUGGAGUUGGAGCUGCUGGUCCAUUCUGUUGGAAUCCUUGAGACCAUGAAAAUUUGGAGUGGUCUCUCCAUCCAGGGUUAUAUGUGUUGGAGUAUGGGUUGUAAUUUGAUGGUUUUCUCAUUACACCUAUGGCAUUGGCUUGAUCUGAGUAUGAGUUAUGGUCAUGUGGCUCUGUUGAUUUAACAGUCGUUAAUGAUGCUAUUUGUCGAGAAAGACCUUCAACCAUCUCCUUGACUUCUUUGAUUCCCGAAGUUGACUCGCCAAUGUGAACCUCAUUUACUCCCUUAAUUCUUUUAGUAUUCCUGAGUGAUCAACUCCGUUGUUGGGAAUUAUCUGCUUGUCGUUGUAAGAAUUCCCAAAUUUCUGAUGCACUUUUUGACAUUAGCUCUCCUCCACUUGUUGCCAUUAGCCAUUCUUGCACAUUCGGCAAUAAUCCCUCCAAAAAGUAUUGGCAUUGGUGCCAUUUCUCGUACCCAUGAUGUGGACACUUCAAGAGUAGCCCAUUGAAUCGCUCCCAUGUUUCGAAAAACUGCUCGUCCUCUCUUUGUGUAAACUCUGAAAUUUCCCUGCGAAUAGAAUUGGUUUUAUGCACUGGGAAAUAUUUAUUUAAAAAUUUCGUUACCAUUUGUUCCCAUGAUGAAAUGCUAUUAGCAGGCAACGUAUUUAACCAUGAACGAGCUCUAUUCUUUAAAGAAAAUGGGAAUAGUCUGAGUUUAACAUCAUCGUCUGAAAAAUUCUCAUAUUUAAAUGUUUGACAAAUAGCAUGAAAAUCAUUCAAAUGAUUAUAUGGGUCCUCAUUUUCUAAGCCAUAAAAUGUGGGGAGACAAUUUAGCACACUAGGUUUUAAUUCAAAACUCCUAGCAGCUACAUUUAGGUAUCUUAUGCAUGAUGUGCUCAAAUUAGCUAAGGGACUAAAAUAGUCCUUAAAUGGCCUCUCAUGUGGUGCUUGUAAAUCCAUUUUAUUUUUAAAUUGUUUGUGUGUGCGAAGUGUUUUUUCUAAUUCAAGGUCUAUAGGUUCAAGAUUAGGAAAUAAUGACCUACGACCAUGCAUGCAAAACAAAUAAAAUAAAAAUAAAGAUGGGAACAAAACAAAUAAAAAAUAAAGAUAGGGAGAAAUUACGAUACUAACCUUAUUGCGCUAUUACAACAUUUCUAUAAAAAUACACAAAAACAAAUACGUGAAAUAAAUUAACUAAAAAUUAAAUUAAUAAAAUAAACAAAAAAAAAUUACAAAGAAAAAUAAAUUGAAAAUUAAAUUACAAAAUGCUAAAGAAGAGAAAAAGAAAAGAAAUACUAACCUCUAAACGCGGAUACACUUUUUUUUUUCUUUUUUUUUUAAUAAUAAAAAAAAUACAAGAAAACAAAUAAAAGAAAUUAUUCACAAAAAUUAAUUCUAUGAAUUAAAACUACUUACCUCCCCGGCAACGGCGCCAAAAACUUAUUGUGCAAAUUUUAAUGUACUCGCAAGCGCACGAAUCUAUUGUAGUAUAGACUAAUGGUGANNNNNNNNNNNNNNNNNNNNNNNNNNNNNNNNNNNNNNNNNNNNNNNNNNNNNNNNNNNNNNNNNNNNNNNNNNNNAUGUGCUCAAAUUAGCUAAGGGACUAAAAUAGUCCUCAAAUAGCCUCUCCUGUGGUGCUUGUAAAUCCAUUCCAAAUUUAUUUUUAAUGUGCUUGUGUGUGCGAAGUGUUUUUUCUAGUUCAAGGUCUAUAAGCUCAAGAUUAGGUAAUAAUGACCUACGACCAUGCAUGCAAGAACACAAAAUAAAUGGGAACAAAACAAAUAAAAAUAAAGAAGAAGGAGAAAUUACGGUACUCAAGAUGUAGAAGGAAUUAUAGAAAAUGGAGCCCAAAAAUGGAUUCAGAGAUAUCAAAUUAGGGGGGGAGAGCUAAAAAAAACGUGAAAUAAAUUAACUAAAAAUUAAUUAAUAAGAUAAACGAAAAAUUACAAAGAAAAAUAACUUCCUUGGCCUAAUAAAGAAAAUUAAAUUAAGAUAAACAAAAAUUACAAAGAAAAAUAACUUAAACAUUAAAUUGCAUAAUUGUAAAGAAUAGAGAAAGAAAAGAAAUACUAACCUUUAAAUGCCCUUUUUUUCUUUUUCUUUUUUUAUUAAUAAAAAAAAUUACAAGAAAACAAUUAAAAGAAAUUAUUCACAAAAAUUAAUUCUACGAAUUAAAAUAACUUACAUCCCCGGCAACCGCACCAAAAACUUGUUGUGCAAAUUUUAUUGAACUCGCAAGUGCACGAAUCUAUUGUAAAAUAGAUUAAUGGUGACAAGUGUCGAUCCCACGAGGAGGUGAAUUUUAAUUAUAUGUAGAAUUAAUUUUGUAUAAGGGUGAUUGGAUUUGUAGUGGAAAUGAUUUGGAAUAUUCUAAAACUUAAAUUAAAAUGGCGAGAAUAAAUUGAAGAGAAAUCUAUUGAAAUGAAGCACUUGGGUAUCUGGAUCCGUAUCAACAUGUAUCAUGGGCUAAAUAUUCCUUAUUAGUGUCAAUUAAAUCAUGAGGGGGGUAUCCACACCUCAUGAACCACACUCUAAUCAAUAUGGUGUUAAGGGUUUAUCGUGCCAAAUAAUAAUAACUUUGUACUAGAGAGCCGGUGAAACUAAUGCGGUAUCUAGACAAGAUUAUUAUUAUUUGUCGACGAAAAGUCAAAUCAUCCACAAAAAUUAGAGGGAAAGAGAAAGUAAAUUUACCAAAUAAAGCUCAUGACACAUGUUGAGACUUCACCUUCAACCCAAGCUUGAAAGAAAAUUAGCUACUCAUAAUUGAACUAGGGGCAAAAUGGGAAUUUAUUAAAAUACAAAGAAAAUACAAGAUGGAGAGGGAAUUACGGAAAAUGGAUCCCAAAAAUGGAUUCAGAGAUAUCAAAUUAGGGGGGGGAGGCCCUCUUUUUAUAGAUACAUGGAGUAAAUCAUGGCCAUCGGAUUAAAAACAGUUUGGACGCUCAGGAUUGCGCCACGUCAUCAGUCAACAAUCCACGGUUUGACCACGUGGAUGAAUAGUAACACGGUUUGACCCGGAUGAACAGUAAUGCGGUUUGGUUGAAAAUAAUCCUGUGUGAUGCAUGUACCGUACGUGAGAUUUUUCGUCUAUUGAUAUGCUGCCACGUCACCAUCAACAGUACAUAAGAAUUUUAGUCCAACAGGAUCGUGACACCUCAUCAGUCAAUGCCACAUCAUCGGUCAAUGCCACGUCAUCGAUCCGUAUAUGUGAACAGUGUCGUGAACAGUAACGUAGACAAUACCGUACAUGUGAAUAGUACCGUACAUGAGAACAAUUCCAUUUUUUCCUUUUAUGCUCCUCCUAAGGUUUUCGACCGUCCUAAAUUCAAAAGUGAUGUCUGUUUUGCCGUCUGAUCUCUCGUUCAUUGUGAAAUGUCUAUGAUGCCCCUAAAAUACAUAAAAUACUUAAUUAUAAUACAACACACAUAAGUAAGGGUGUUAGUAAAACUUGAAGUGUAAAAUAACGAUUUUCUCCUUUAUAAAUAUACAUUUUCUAACACUCAACAUAUGUGUGAUUUCGUUUUUUGUUGGCUAAUUGUUUACUAACAAUUUGAUAUCAUUAACAUCCACAGGAGCCAGAUGAUUUGGGCAAGCCACCAAAAAAUACUACUGCUGCCAUUUUGAGGAAAAGUCCAAGACUCAAUCCUUCAAUCCUAAAGGAUUAUGCAAAUGAUGAGAGGAAAAUAGUUGGAAGCAGUAAAAAGCAAUUGGAUUUUGACUGUGUUAAUGGUACAACUGAUGGUAUACAAGAGAGGCAUCUUGAUAGCCCAACAAAAAAGCCACUUUUCAAAAAGGAUAGAGCCAAAAAAGUUGUAGUGCAGCCUAUGAGGAACACAAGGAGUGCAAUUUUCAAGCACCAGAACAGUCAUCCUAUGCUGCAACUAUUUGGUAAAUUGUGUGAGAAAUACAUGUCUGAUGAAAAUGAUGGUGUUAUAACAUAUAUGAUUGAUGAUAAUGUAUUCCAAAGACAUGCUUAUGCUUAUAUUGGGAAGAAAGAUUGCAAUGAACUAUUGUCAAUGCAAGCACUAGGAGUAAAUGCUAUUCAAGUAUAUAUGGCGUAAGUGGUUUAAUGAAUUUUCUUUAAACUAGCUUUAUUUGAAAUUAGUAUACUUUUUUUUAUUGAUGCACUGAUUUUCUAUUCAGGAUGUUGGAUUCCACAAUUCUGCCAACCAGAAAAGGAAUAAAACCAUUUGGAUUCAUGUGUCCAAAUUUAGUUUGCCUAACAAAUCCAAAGGCUGCAGAAAAAUUUCGCUUAAAGAGAGUUGAGCAUAUCCAUGACCGCUUGAAAAAAGCCAAAAACGGACAACUCAUUCUCAUGCCAUAUAAUCCUUCGUAAGUUUUAAUUUUCAUUCAGUCUGAAUUUAUAUUACUUUUACAACUGUUUGUUAAUUCAUGAUUUUGUUUUCUGCUUUUUUUCCAACUGCCUUCUCCUAUUGUAGCUACCAUUGGGUUUCGGUUGUGUUUGACGUGGUGAAAAAGAAAGUGUUUUAUGUAGAUCUUGUGCAGUCCAGUCCUGAUACUGAUUUAGAACAGCUCCUUAAAAUGUAUGUAUGCCAAUCCAUUUCAUGCAAUUGAUAUUUUAAGUUUUUUCAAUAUAAUUAAAAGAUAACACUUUGCGUUUUUUUUUUAUAGCACCAUGACACUCUUCACAGCAGAGGAAAGUAGGGAAAAAUGGAAUUAUAAUUCUAAGAUGAGAAUUGUGAAGGUAAAAAAAAAGUAACCCUACAGAAACUAUAUGUGCCUAUCGAUUACAUAACUCAAAUGAAUGAGAUUUUGUAAGUUUUUUUUUUUUUGUGGCAUGAACAGGCUCCAAAACAAAAUAUCGCAAAAUUGGAGUGUGGCUAUUAUGUGUUAAGAUACAUGAAGGAAAUAAUAGUAGAUGUUAGUUUGUUAAUGAACAAUGUAAGUUGAUGAUGACAUUUCACUAACUUUCUUUUAUUCCAUAUAUGUGACAUUAUUUUUUAAGUUUGACCUCUUUACAAUCUUGUGAUUAACAGUUUAAUGGAAAGAAAGUAUACACUCAGGACGAAUUAGAUAAGGUUCGUUUGGAGUGGGCUAACCAUUUUUCCGACAUCCUUGUUGCAUCAGCAAAAUGGUUAGUAUUAGUAUGAAACUAUAAAUAUUAGUUGUAAAAAUUUAUUGAAAUUAAAGUUAUAGUGUCAAAUUAUAAUGGUUAUUGUUAACAAUUGUAGUGUACGUGUUUUGCAUUCAAUAACAUUGGGUAUUUUGAUUGAUUCCAAAUAGAUUGGUAUUGGUUUGCUGGGUUUCGGUUGGAGGGUUGCUGGGUAUGUGGCUGGAAUACCAGUGGUGUGGACAGAUGUUGGGUUGGAAGAUGCUGGGUUGCUGCUGAAUGUGUGUUGGGAGCGUUGUUCGGUAAGUGGCUGGAAUAGUAGUGGAGUGUACUUAGAAGAUGUAUUGUUGCUGGAGGUUUUUGUUGGUGUGAAAAUAUGUAUUGGCUUGCUGCCGUUAUGCCAGUGGUGUAGAAUGAUGCAUGUAUUGGCUUGGUGGCUAGAAUUUGGAAAUUUGUUCUUGUAGUUUAACUGGAUGAAUUUUUUCUUUUUAAAUUUCGGAUGUUGCUUAUAUAUGUAUUGGUAGUGAUGACAAUAUUAGAUAAUAAAUGUAUUUAUUUUGAAAUUAACUUGUUGGAAUGAGUGGAUGUUAACUAAUAUUAAUUGUUAAUUAAUAUUAAUUAUUUUUAUUUUUUUAUGAUACUCAUUUUUAUUAAUUAAUUACAUUUGUAAACACGAAUACAAAAAUUAAUUGUAAUCGUUUUUUUUUUUAAAUUAACUUUAUGACGGGAAAUUCCCAUCAUAUGGUCUGUCAUAAACAAUUUCCCGCCAAAAAUUGAAUAAUAAAUUUACAAAUUAUAACAUAAUUUCCCGCCAAAACUGAAUAAAAAAUUUACCAAUUACAAUAAAAUUUCCCGCCAAAAUUCAAACAUUUGGCGCGAAAUUUUAAAUUAAUUCAAAUUUUAAGUUAAUUAUUUUUUCACAUUAAAAUAUUACGUGAUGGAUAUAUGAUUAUAAAAUACCAUCGUUAAUAUAUGACGGUAAAUAAUCUGUCAUACAUUAAUGACAGUGACAUAGAUGACAGAUGAAGUGUCUGUCAUGCACCCCCUUUUAUGACGGUUCUUUCCUGUCAUCUAUUGCCUGUUUUCUUGUAGUGCACGGCCAUCACACUACACCAACAACUACAAAAAGACAAUAAAAAAAACAGCGACAACAACAUCCAAAGGACAAUUGAAAACAACACACACUACUAACACAACAUCAAAAAAAGGCACAGCUGGAAAUAAUAAUUCAGAGGAGGCAGGCUAACAGUUGAAGCACAAAUUUAAGAAUAUAAAACGUAUCUCGUAAAUUCAAUUAAUAUAAUGAAUUAGUUAAAGAUUUCAAACGAGGACCCUUUCUCGCUGUAAUGUGAGCACCAUUGCCUAUUAACUAAGUCCUUAUUUAAAAAAUAAUAAUGUCAUAAUGUAAAAAAAAUGUUUUAUUAAGAAAUAUUUCAAAAGAAGAUUGUCCAGGAUGUUAUCCCCCCUCUUUAAAUUCUUCUACGAUCUAGAAGCAUACGAAGAAAAAUUAAUCAUAAUUUAUUUUUUAAGUUGGGCAAAUGAGAAUUUUUACGUCCUAAUUCUCUUAAUUUUGUGCAACACACACUUAAUGUUUUUCUUUUUUUUUUUUCCUGAAAAAUUACUUAAAGCAUUUGAUAUCAUCCUAUCAAGGUGUGUAUACACACACACACACAAAAGCUAGUUUUGAUUUGCAUCACACUUUUAUUUAUUACUUCAUUGUAGUAUUUUUAUGCAUUAUUUAUUACUUCAUUGUUGUGUUUUUAUGCAAGUACCAUUAUGUCAUUUUAACUUUAAAGUGACGGUGACACUAAUAAUAACAACAACAACAAUAAUUAAAGUAGUGACACAAAAUUUAUUAUGAUAUUUUAACUGAGAACUUGCUUGUCAAUUUUUAGAGUCUAAAAUUUUAUUAAUUUUAUACUUUUUUAAUUUUAUUUAUUUAUUCUCUGCAACUUAUAUCUGAUUAAAUUUUUAAACAUUUACAUCUAAAUAGAAAAAAUAAACUUUUAUAACUUCUGUCCAAAUAAGAAAAAAAUCUGGAUUGGAACUAAAUACUACACCCCAAAAAUAUCUAUAAUUAAAUACACUUAUUUUUUAAAUUAUAAAACCUAAUUCAUUCAUUCGUCUUGACUUAUGAGGACAUAAAUGUCAAAUAAUUAUGUUUAAAUUUUUUUUUACUUAUAAAAAUAAACAAGAUAACAUAUAUAUUCAAAUAUUAGAAAAAAAAACAAUAUAUUUUAUUCAGAAAUUUGCAGUUAAACUCAUUCAGAUUUCAAUCAAAUUUAUACAUAUUCAGAUUUUAGACAAAAAAAACAAAUACUAACAUAGACUCUUAAGUUAAAGUGGUGAUAAUUCUUUUAAUCUCCCUUCCAUCUAAUCCUCUAAUAUUACAAAUAAUCUUUAAAUUAUUUAACACAUACGAGCAAAUAAAAACUUUUUAUUUUUAAUUUAUUAUCUUUUGACUAUUUCACGAAUUGGAAAAUAUGAAAUAACUAUAAGAAGUGUUGAAGCCUUUAAUUUUCCUAUUAUAUCUUUACAAGGUGUUUCAUUUGAUUACAUUUUCAUUAGUAUCAUUAGUUGACUAAUUAUUACACAAAUAGAGUGUCAAAUACUAAAUCCAGAUGCUUUUAUAUAUUAUUUUUAUCUAGACUGUAUCUAAAAUGUUUAGUAUUGUAUUGUUUUCUAUAUUACUCUUUUGUUAUUGACAAAAACUUUUAUUAAAGGAAGUAAAUGGGUAUUUUAGAUCAACUAAUGCUACUAAAAAUAUAAUAUAUUGAAAAUUUUUGUAAGAAUAUAAUAACAGUAAAAUGUUAGACAAUCUAUCUAUAUAUUUAUAUAAAGUUGGGACUACAAGAGGUGAUGUGACAUCACUAUUUCUCAUCUUUGUAUAUUCUCUAUUAUCUAAUAAAUAGAGAAAUUUUCUUUCAAAUUUCUGCUGUACCGUACAUCCGCCUUGGCCGUACAGCAGAAAUUAAUUCAAAUUUUAAGUUAAUUAUUUUUUCACAUUAAAAUAUUAUGUGACAGAUAUAUGACUAUAAAAUACCAUCGUUAAUAUAUGAUGGCAAAUAAUCUGUCAUACAUUAAUAACAAUGACAUAGAUGACAGAUGAAGUGUCUGUCAUGCACCACCUUUUAUGACGGUUAUUUCCCGUCAUCUAUUGCAUGUUUUCUUGAAGUGCACUGAGCUAUCAAUUGAUGUGCUUAGAUCGGAGUUGUUUAUAAAUAAUUAUUUAAUAUUUUACAAUUACUGAGGUGGUCAAACGAUAUUAGCACUUUAUUUAAUUUAAAAAAAAAAGCAUUUUUCAUAUUUUUAAUCUCAGCCCUAUUCACAAGAUUUUCGAUAAUUUUUCGCCCGAAAAUCCGACAAGAUUUUAGAAUUUGUAAACAGGGGCAACGUUGUCAUUUCAACCAAGCCAAAAUAAAUAUAAAAUAUAUAAUUCAAAUUAGUGAUUGCACUUUUGUGUUGUGAGAAAAAUUCAUCGCCCAUGCAGACGGAGAGAAAGAAACCGAUAGCUGCAUUCAUGGCCUUCGGCACCAAGGGUGAUGUUUACCCUAUCGCUGUAAUUGAAUCUCUUGAUUUUCUUAUUUUUAUAAAAUUAUUUGAUUUAUUUGAUUUAAAUUUUUAAGUUUUAAUUUUUUAAUUUUGUUAGCUUUAAUUUGAAAUUAAUUGUCAAGUGCAGGCCAUCGCUGCAGCUUUUGCUUCUGAUCAAAGGCAAUACGAUGUGUUUCUAAUAACUCAUUCGGCUCACGAGGUUAACUUCGCUCUACGCUCCUUUAAGCUUUAAUCAGAGUGACUUAAGCAGUUGAUUAAUUGAUUGAUUGAUUUAGGAGAGGAAUUAAGCAUUUAGAGAAGUGGAUUUGUUUUUGGAAGUAAUUAAUAAAAUGCUUUUCCAGAAAGCACAUUAAUUCUUUUCAAUAAACUCAUUAUUAUUGGAUGUUUAGCAAUAUUUUUAUUUUUAUUUUUUUCAUUAAUGCUAGCUUACUCAGUUGGUAUACUUAGCUUGUAUCCCAACUGAUGUGUUACCAAUCAUUCGUUACCCUCGGUAUGACAUCAAUUGAUUUAUUAUUUACUAUUUUUCUAAUCCCAUCAACGGAUGACUGAUAAGAUGCCCAUCAGUUGGGAACAAACUCAGUAUUUCAACUAAGUAAGCAUAUCAUUACUGCUUUUUUAUAUGUUGUGUAAGCAUUGAAGAUUUUUUCAUACAUUUUGUUUUCCUGUAUCAGAACUUGAGUUUUCGCUUGGCUGCAAAGUAUGUUACUUUUUAUCCAAUUUCAUCAUCGCCUGUGCUUUGUGCUUCUGAUAAUCACAAUAGAACAGAGUCAGGUUUGGUUGGUACUUUGAAUCGCUUACACACACACACACACACAUGUAUCAUUGGUGCAAACUAUGAUCUGAUCGACAACAUAUGCCGAAUUGGUUGAGAAGAUAGCUCAAGUUAUUGAUAUAAAUACUUCGAAAUUCGAAAUCACAAUGAAGUUCAAGCUUAAGACAUCUGAUCCUAUGCCACCCGUUACAAUUCAAACCAAUGAUGAUGUGAAAUUUUUCUUAGAGGAAGUAGCUAGUGGAAUGGAGUUUAGAAACCCGCUCUGCAUUACUUUUGAACGUAGAUCAAUUUCAGCAGUUCCGGUGGAUAGACAACCUUCACCUCGUCCUUCAUGGGAAGAGAGUCAUGCUUGCUCCAGCUACGUGACUCCAUCAUUUCAUAUUCUCAGUUCAAACAAUUUUACUUUGCAGAUGAAUCACCAAUUGAGUGUUUGUCUACUACGCAACCGACUGACGAACAAGAAGUAGUUAAUGAAUUUGUGACUGGAGUUGAUUGUUUGGAUGAGCCAACAUUAGCUGUUGAUUCAGCAUUAGGAGAUAAUACUCCAGCUACUAUAAGUUCAAGAACCUCAAACAAUGCACAUGUGCCCAGAAUAAAUUUACUUGCUAGUAGCAGUAAUUUAUUAUCAACAGAAGUUAGUGGUGAUACUGAUGUGUCGAUAGUGAAAGAGGUGUUUGAGUCAAAGGAGGCAUUGCAAGAAAAACUUAAAGCACUAGCUGUGAAAAAAAGGUUCCAAUUUAAAACCCCAAAGUCAGACAAGGACUUACUUGUUGUUGUUUGUGUGGAUGACAACUGCAAAUGGCGCCUUUGUGCAAGUAAGCUUAAAGGUUGCAACAUGUUUGAAAUUAGAAAGUAUUACAAUGUCCAUACUUGCUCCCUUGAUUCAUAGGAAAAAGACCACCGUCAAGCUUCAUCCAAGCUAGUUGGGCAAAAUUUUCGGUACAAGUUUGAUGGCGCUUCAUCUUCUUAUAAGCCAACUGAUAUUAGGCAAGAUUUUCAAAAGGAGUUUGGUUAUGAAAUAAGUUAUCACAAGGCGUGGAAAGCAAGGGAGUUUGCAAUGGAGAUGGUUAGGGGCACUCCGGCACAUUCAUACCAUUUAUUACUCUCGUACAUGGCAAUGGUUGAAAAAAAAAAUCUUGGAAGUCGAACAUUCAUUGAAAAAGAAGAAAACGACAGUGCGAACAACUUCAAGUACUGUUUCAUGGCCAUUGGAAGUUCUUUGAGAGGAUUCACUUCAUGUAUUAGGCCAAGUUCUUUGAGAGGAUUGUUUCAUGGCCAUUGGAAGUUCUUUGAGAGGAUUCACUUCAUGUAUUAGGCCUGUUAUUGCAGUUGAUGGUACAUUUAUGAAGGGCAGGUAUAAAAGAACAUCAUUCGUUGCAACAUCUCUUGAUGGCAAUAAUCAACUUUACCCUGUUGCAUUUGGUGUAGGUGAUAGUGAGAAUGACGCUUCAUGGGAAUGGUUUUUUACGAAGUUAAGAGAGUCCAUUGGUAAUGUUCCUAAUUUAGUAUUUAUUUCUGACCACCAUGGAAGUAUUAAAAAAGCAGUUGAUAACAUAUUUCCUGGUGCAGGGUAUGGCAUAUGUACUCAUCAUCUAAAAUGAAAUGUAAAUGUUCAUUUUAAAGAAGUCAAUGUGGGUGCUUUAUUUGAAUUGGCUGCAAUAUCGGCCCAUUAAAUUUACUCAAUAUAUGAAUGCCAUUCGCAGUGUUAGUUUAAAUGUUCACCAGUACCUGACUGAUGCCGGAUAUGAGAAGUGGGCUCGUUCUUUCUUCGAGGGGAGGCGUUACGGGAUUAUGACGACUAACAUCGCAGAAAGUAUGAAUUCUGUCUUAAAAGAAGCACGAAGCUUGCCUAUUCAUAAGUUAAUGGAUUCUAUCAUUGACAAAUUGCAAGAAUGGUUUGCAAAAAGGCGAGAAUUGACAAUGGAUGCAUGUACUCCAAUGACUACUUGGGUUGAGAAGCAAUUGAAAGGGAAAUUGGAAAAAUCACACACAUAUCCAGUAAUACAGAUUAAUUUCCAUGAGUUUAUAGUUAAGGAUGGCGACCUUGAUGGCCAUGUUGACGUGCUACAAAAGAUUUGCAGUUGUAAUGAGUUUCAAAUUGACCAACUUCCUUGUGAACAUGUGGUAGCUGUAUGUAAGCAUAUGCGUAACUAUUCUGUUUAUGAUUUAUGUUCUCAUUAUUAUUCUGUCAAUGCAUGGGUUACAACAUAUGCAGAGAGCAUUUAUCCUGUGGGUCCACUAGAGGAAUGGGAUGUUUUAGAAGAGGUGCGUGCAUAUGUGCUAUCACUGCCAGUGAAAAAGUGAGAGGUAGGACAGCCGCGAACUAUUAGAAUAGCUUCUCAAGGGGAAGACAUCGUGCACCGUAAGUGUGGUAGGUGCGGAUUGCGGGGGCAUAAUCGACUAACAUGCACUGCAGCAAUUCCACUUUCAGAGCAAGAGCAUGGCCCUUCGCGUAACCAAACUUAAAUAAUUGGAUUUACAAAUUAUAGGAUUGGACAUGUUAUGCUUGGAAACUGUAAUUUGUUGCAUUAUGAAAGACUUUAAAUUUUCGACUGAAAUUUGUUGCAUUAUGAAAUAACUUAAUUUUUUUACAUUCCAAAAUGGAGCUUUGUAAGGCAUGCAAUCUUAAAUGAACUAGUGUCUUCAGAUAAAUCAACUAAUACAAUAUAUAAAAUAGUUGGCUUCUUGGUAAUGGAAAUGAUAAAAGGGCAAUCUGACUGCAUCAUUAGAAUAACUAAAGUCCUGAGAGUUAGACAACUGGUCCUUUUUGGUUGACUACUAAAUGAUUAUUUUAGUCAAUUAGUUUCCUUCUGAUUGUUUUGUCUGUGGAAUUUGAUGUUUUCUUUUGAAUUGUUAUCAUGUAAACCAGAAUGGUACCGUACAAGUAUUUGUUUCCAAGAUGUGUGGCUGCAAUUCACCAUGGAGGAAGGUGAGAGCUUUCUCUUUGUGAUUCCUUUUGAAAUAGAUUAGAAGUGCAAAAUACGACAAAGCUAAUUUACAUGUUUGCAUUACUUUCUUCAAUUCCAAACCGGUGGAUCUACUGCAGCAGCACUACAUGCAGGAAUCCCUAAGGUUGAUUUCUAAACACUUUGUUGCUUUAUGCACAAUUUUCUUCUAAUAUAUUUUUAUUACUGUUGAAAAAUCUUUGGGUACAAAGGCAGCCAUCCAUACCUAACCUUUGUAAUUGAAACACCUAUAUAAUUCAACAAGCUCGUGCAUUUUUAAUGGUGAUAGGAAUUCUUCUGCCAGUAUAAUUAACUACAAUCCCAUUUUUUCUCCUUUUUUUCCCCUUUUAAAUCUAAUUUCUAGGAGUAACUUUAAAUGAAUAUACUCCAGAAAGUUCUAAAAAUAUCACUUUUUCUGGAUAUGUAGGAGAAGGAAAUGAGCUUGUUAAUUGUUGAUUUAUUUAAUUUGGAAAUCAGAUACAUACUGUGUUGUAUUGAUACAUAAUUUUACUGUAUUGGUUGAAUGCUAAAGUGCGAUCAUCUUUGUUGCCCUAAUGCUGGUGACACUCUUUCUGUUGGAUGUCAUUUUUUUUAUCGAAUUUCAAGAGUGGUUUGUUGAAUAUUGUCUUCAACAGAGAUUCUUUUCCCUAAUGUUACCUUUUGUUGACGCCUUGUUUGCUUUCCUAUGUAUUUGUGGUAAGAAUUUAGGGAUAAAUUUCUCCUUUGAUCACUUUUGCUGUCAAGUAAGGGCAUAUAUAUAUAAUUGCUUUCUGUGACAAACCCACCAACAAUGAUUACAUCUAGAACAAGCAGGGUGGUAAAUGAAUAUUUAUUGUAAAUAUCUGGACUUCAUCCAGCUUGUUGAGUCAAAACAUGGUAUAAAUGGUUUUUGCCAGAAUAUUAGUUCAUUUGUGUUACCUUUAUUUCUUUAGUUUUAUUUUUGUGAUAGUACUUGUAUGCUAUAAUUUUGACUCAUAUAUUCGUCUCCUUUAUGGAUAUUGGAUGUCAGAUACUGUGUCCAUUCAUGCUGGACCAGUUCUACUGGGCCGAGAGGAUGUUUUGGCUUGGAGUUGCUCCAGAACCACUAAAAAGAAAUCACUUGGUUCCAGAUAAUGCAGAUGAGACUAGCAUCAAAGAAGCUGCAGAAGCACUAUCACAAGCCAUUCAGUAUGCACUAUCUCCCAGAGUCAAAGAAUGUGCAAAAGAGAUUGCUGAAAGAAUCUCUGUUGAGGUACAUGCAUAUUAAAGUACUUUCUUGUUCCCAGCUUUAUCAAUGCUAUGGCUGGUUGCUGCAUUAAGUUUCAUUCCUUUUGGUAUCUCAUAUCUGCAUUAAACUGGAUUUUCCUUCCAUUAAAUUAAAUUAUCUUUUUAUAUGAUUUGAUUGUCAACUAGCUGCUAGGAAUUCAAAUCUUAUUCACUUUAUGAAAUGUCAGUUACUGAGUUUGAGUUGAAUUAUAGUAGUUUCGGUAUCUCUUUUGUUGAAGUUCUUGUUUUUAUUUAUUUUAUGAAUUCGUUGAAGCCAUUGCUGUCGGAAUUACUGUAGCCCGCAUCUUGUAAAUUUUUGUGUUUACUAUUUAUUCUGUGAGCUACAUUACUGAAAAUAAAUUUCACAAACUUAUGCUUCUUUCAGGAUGGAGUUAGUGAAGCUGUUAAGAAUCUCAAAGAAGAGAUGGGGUUGUUCUAGUUAAGCUAACUUUGAAGAGAUGAGAUGUCCUAAUCCGUCUUUUUGUUAUUUGGUUUAGCCCAAUUAUGAAAAUUCGUAUUUAUUUAUUUAUUUAUUUAUUUAUUCAUUCAUUCAAUAUUAUCAUUAUUCUUGCAUUUAAAAAUGCUAAGUUAAAAGUCAAGGAAACUUUUUGUUUUUGCUUGUUUGUAUUUUGACCCACAAGGCCAAAAUUUAAAUUUCGCACGUUCGAUAUUUUGUGUCAUUUUUUAAAACUUUAGCUGGUGGAGUCAAUACAGCGAAAGCCAUUGAAGGUACUCAAUUAUUGGGUCUUGCUAUUUUGCAACUGGUGUUUGGUACCCCUAUUUUGUCAUUUAGUGAUUUAAUAAUUAAAUCCAACCAAAAAGUUGCAGAUGGGUUUUCAUGGUUAUUAAUAUUGUUAUCCCUGAUGUUUGCUAAACAAUUAAAAAAGGCAAAAGUUUCUAAAUGUUGACAUAUAUAUCCAUAUUAUUUCAAAUUUUUGUACAAUUAAGUCUAUUGACCUAGUUUGACUAUUAGCAUGAGUAUAGUACUGUAUGGACAAUAAUGUAAUCUCAUGUAAAAAUUUUAAAAUGCACGAAAAAUCAACAUGCCUUAAUAAUUUUUUUAACAUAAUAUCUAUUUAAUAUACAAUAAUUAUUUGAAUAUGUCAAUUAAAAAAGAAUAAAUGAUGAAAAUAUAUUAAUUUGUUAACAAUAAUUAUAUAUGAUGAUAACGAACAUGUAUGUCUAAAUUAAAUGUUUCCAAUAAUAUUAUUAUUGAACAAGUUGCGUAAUUCCUAAGGUAUAUUUAAUGAAAUUUUUUUAUUUUGAUAUUAUUAUCUUCUUGUGUACGAUAACUAAAUUUCAUUUUUGUUCUUUCUUUAUUCCUAAUUAGCAGUUUAGCACCCAUGAACUCUAUCCUCUAUUUUUGUUUCCUUCUUUUCAUAAACUCUAACCUAAUAAAAUAGUUUUAAUUAAAACCAUCAUAUUUUAGAAGUAGAUUUUUUGAUCGACAAAAAUCCUACAAUUGAUUCUUUGGUCUAUGCAGUAGUGUGAUUUAAAAGAAGGGUCCAGCUACCGUGCACUUGGUGCAUGAUACCCCACAUUUUGUCCAUAUACGAGUUGCCCUUUAGAUCUAACGCAAAACUUGUUUCAACGACAUGAAUGUAUUCUAUUUGGUUUUUAACAUUGACAUCUCUAUUGUUUUUUAAAAAAGCAAAAUAAUCAAAAGUUUGACAAAUAAUUUUGGAUAAUUUUUAAAUUUUAUAUUUUGAUCAAUUGAUCUAAUUUACUUUUUUUUUAUGAUUUAAUUAUAGUAUGAGGUUAUUUGAACCCACUAAAUUACUUUCUACACCCAAUUGCUCAAAAAACACGUAGCCUAAAUUAAAAUUAGACAAUGUACACCUCAUAAUAAUCAAAAUAACCCCAAUUUAAUUUAUUUUUUGAAUAAUAAAUUAGUCACCUCUGUUCUCUUAAUCAAAAUUGAUCUUUUAUGAACUAGAUAAGCUUACAACGUGUGGAUAAUAAAAAUGAACAAAAAAGUACUUUAAGCUUCUGAAAAUUCAACUCUUAAUUUGAUUGCAAUAAACAUUGAUUUAUCUCUUUAUUAUUCUUUUUUUUUCACUUGUAAUGGAAAAAGAAUUCUCUGCAAUUUUGUUAUCAAUUGCAAACUUACAACUCUCAAAUGGGGAUUGGUGCUAAAUAUUAAGUAAGGAUGCUCAGAACUUGUUUUUGUGUUUUUUUUUUGUGCUAUUUGCCUUUGGUUUUACGGUUAAUUCAUGAUCAUUAUGCAAUUCUUCAUAUAUUUAUAUACUUCUAGUGUUUAUGCAAUUUUUAAAUAUUCCUCUACUGAAGGAUUCCAUAAAAGCCCAAUUCAUGUCUCGUGAAAUUAAUACUAAAACUUACUUAAAUUAAAGGUCUCCAACAACAAAGGCGGAUGGUAAUUCAAUUCGAUUCCUUUGUUCCAUUAAUUUUUACACUAUUUUUCUUUUUUUCUUUUUGAAUGAAUAUUAUUUGUUUACAAUGAAAUUACGUUUAGCUUAAAAUAAAUUUUGAAUUUAAAUUAGGAUAAGAUCAAAGAAAAGUAUAAUUAAUUAAGUAUAGAUCUUGUCCUUAAUAGUAAAUUAUUUCAUAGGCAUUUUAAUAAUUGAAAUUUUUAAUUAAAAAAAGGUGCAAAAAGUAUUUUUAAGUCAAAUAGUCUAAUUUUAAUUAAAAGGAGCUACUACCUGUAUUUUUAUUAUUUAAAUAUCCAAAAUGCUUAAUUUAUUUUUUGUAAGGGUAAAAUUUUGUUAAUUGUCAACUCAACAGUAUAAGUAUUAAAAAUUGAAAUAAAUAGGACUUGAGUGUCAAAAUUUAGAAAUACUACUUAGUUUCUUUUUUUUUAUUAUUAACAAAACAAGGGGUUACUUACCCUAUUGGUAACGUAAUUUUGGCUAGUUUGAUAAUUAAAAAAAAAAGUGAAAAUGAACUAUACAAUCUAUGAAUUUGAUAAGAGGAAAGAAAAUAAAAAGAAUUGUACAAUAUAUUUUAGUACUAAGCUCUCAAACUUUGUUUAGGUCAGAUGAGCUCUAUUCAAAAUGUAGUUUUUUCAGUUUAUUAUAAAUAAAUCUCAUUUCUCAUAUCUCACGGUCCAAAAAUAAUAUUAAAUGGAAAAAAAUCGGACUGAUUGUGGAGGAAAGGUGAAGAAGAAUGGAAAAAUAAAAUUAUCGCUAUACUUAUAAUUAAAUUGUAAAUAAGAAAGAUUAUAAGGGAUUCAAUAAAAAAAAAAGACAAAAGAGGGGUACGGUGUCACGGGGGUAUUGUAGCUGCGUCCCUCAAUAUUAUUAGUUAACAAAUUAGAAUUUUUGGCAGGUGCAUGUGUUGUAAAGAUGCAUUUUGAAAAAAGUAAUAAUAAUGGGAACUUGACUUUAUGUCCUUCUGUACAUUAACUAACUGCUGCCAAAUCUUUAGAACUUCACAUCUCUGGUUCAAUUAUCACCACAAUAAGUCCAUUUGGUUUUAUCAAUUUGUAUCUUCUUGUGCUCAAUCUUAAAUUCUAUUGGUUGGCCGUAUAUUCCCUGAAAAUUUAUUAAAUUUUACCGAAAGAGAAUCACUGGACUGAUUAAGUAUGUCUAGUUUUGUGUUGCUUUGUAGCAAUCAAGCUGGAAACUCCCCACUCAAGUUAACUUGUAAGAUCAACAUACUACUGAUGUUGAUGGACGAGGAAUUUGGAAAAUGUGCCACCAUCUUCGCGACCAAAGAAUGGUUAUUUCCACACUUGCGUUUUUGAAUGGUUCAAGAAUGCCUCAAGUGAUAAUGAGAUUUGGAAGUGUGAUGGUUUGAAAAUGUGAGGUCUCCAAGUGACGUAAGAUAAAUGAAGGGAGAAGAGAAGAUAUUUUCAGAAAGUUGACGGAAAGAGACACUUCAAAUUCGAAGGGAGAUGUCAUACUUGCCCAACAGAAAAGUCAAUUACGGUCGAUUAACCCAAAAAAAAAAAAAAAAGAGAGAACUCUUGCGGAUGCACCAACUCACAUUGACCUGAAAAAGUAGUUCAACCUUUAGCUUAUAACAAAUAAUUAAUAAAUAGAUAAAAUCUUAAAUCUUUUAACAUAUACAUUAAAUAAUAAGUUUAUUGAUAGUCGCAACGUUAGGCGGGCAUAAUUUGGUCAUGAAAACAUGAAAUCUAUCCUUUUUUAAAGACCACUAACUCUAACAUUAUAUAAAAACAAUUAAUGUAAUUCUUAUAAUAGGAGAAAAAGUACUCAUUAUCUCUAAUAAAAAAAGGUACCAUUAAGUCUAGAAUAAGCCCAAAUAUUUUAAAUCCUUGAAAUUAAUAUAAUAAAAAAAUUAACAUUGAACAAGAAGAAAUCAAAAUUCUGGCUUUGAUCACAUAAUCGAUGAAAAUCAGGACAUAUAAUUAACAUUUGUUUAUUUUACUUUUAAAUUACUUCUUUUCCUUUAUUACUUGAAGAAGAGAAUUGCUCUGUAAAAACUCUCACUAUAAUACAUACAACUUAAACAUUUUUGUUUGAAAUAAAAAUUAACUUAAAAGCAAAAAACUAGUAAAAUUAUCUUUUUAGGCAGAAGACUGAUUAAAAAAAUAAAGUUACUUGAAACCACUUCAUCAAUUUCCAGUUGCCAAAUGUUUAUAGCUUCAUAACUUUUGGUUCAAUUAUCACCACAAGUACGUCCAUUUGUAUACCAAUCGAUAGAGAUCAAUUGAAUUCAAAUGACUUGCCCCUCAACUCUUAGCCGACACUAAUCUUUACUCUGCCAGCACACCGCCCAACUUUGCUCCUUCGUCAGACCACUCCAGUCAAGGAAUCUUAAGUUUUCAAGAUUCUUAUAGCUCCUCGCCGCCAGCCCCUCUUCUUCCACUUCGACUUCUUCAUCUUCAUUUUCUUCCACUUCUUCAUCUUCAAAAUUGUUGAUAAAUAUGAGAUUUGUGGCUCUGAAUCAAUUUCUCGCUAUUAAUACAUUGGAAGACUUUUGAUUUUAGAUUUUUUUUUAAAAUUUUUUAUUGUGUUAGUAACUGAAAACACUAGGACCUGUGUUUUGGGCUCCUUUAGUAGCCAUGUUUGUUGGGACUUGGGUUUAAUUUGUUCUAUUUAUCCCACUAAUUCAAUUUUUUUAUUUAAUUUUAUAAUGGCCAAGUUUGUGAAUGUUUGAUUAGUGUCUCGUAAAAUUGGAGGAAAUUGAGGAAACCAUCCCUACGUAGUAGGGGUGGGCAUGGGUUGAUUUGGGUUGGGUUUUAAGUCAACCCAAACCAACCCAACCCAAACCAAUCCAUUUGGGUUUGGUUUCAAUUUUAUUAUCAAAAUAUUUUUUUUUGAUAAAUUUAAUUAUAUUAAAUUUAUAAUAAUUAUUAAUUUUUAUGAAUUAUUAAAUUGAUAUUAAAAUAUGAAAAAAUAUAGUGGAUAAAAAUUAUAAAUAAUAAAUUUUACAAUAACUUCAUCCUUAAAUUAAAGAAUACUAGAAAAUUAAAUUAAGUUUAAUCAUGAAAAGUAUUAUUUUCUCAAUAAAUGAGAAUGUAACUUCUAAUAAUAAGCUUUUACAAAUAUGACAUCAAUAAAUAAAUUCAAAGAAGGAAAAAAAAAUACACAUAGAGUAAGUUUUUAAUAAGGGUUUUUUUUAAUUUUGUUAAAGUAAGAAAUAAAUUAAAUGAUAAGCUAACUCACAAAGCAUUUCUCUCUCCAGAUCAAUGCAAAAUCAUUUACGAAUCAGUCAUUGGUCAAGCUCACUUAUGUGAUUAAAUUAAUUUUUGAAGAGUACCAAGAUACAGAAUGUGGGGAAACAUUAGGAUGCCACAAAACUGCAAACUAAAGCUGUCCAAACGAGAAAAACUUAAAAUAAAGUUGAAUUGAGACCGGCGAGCAUUAAUAUUGUAAUUUUAGUUUAGUUAUGAUUUUAGACAAUAAGUUUAAGUGUUGGGGUUUGUCCAUAACCCAUGGGUAAACCAUACCCAACCCAUAAUGAAAUAAUUUUUUUAUAUAAAACACACAUCUAAUCCAUUUUCAUGAUUUAUCCAACCCAAACCAUUUAAUUUGGUUUGGAUUUGAAUAAAUCCAUGGGUUGUGGGUUUAUGCCCACCCCUAAUAAGUAGCAUGAUAUUAUUAGAUUAUUAUAAACUGCCAUGUCACCUUUAAUAUAAGGGAAAAGCGAUACCUUAAUUGUUAUGUACGUGACAAUAUUUCGCUAGAUCGGCGUAUGAAUUUUUGCCAUGUAUGUAUUUUAAAUUUUUGUCAUAUAUGUAUUUUUAAAUUCAUUUUUCUUCCGAGUUGUGAUUGAUGAAUUUAAAAAAAUAUAUACAUGUAUACAUGUCAAAAAUUAAUUGGAUCAGAAUAAGGAUGAUGACAUGUUACCUAUCAUGCUCAAGUGACUCACGUCUAUUGGAUCGGCUUAAUUUGCAUGGUUGAAGCUUGGAAUAAUAUUUAAUUGUUUCCCGGGGAUCCUGAAAUCUGCAGCCAACGUGGAUGCGUUUAGAUCUUUUAGCUUAUAACAAAUGCAUAUUGACCUGAAAAAGUAGUUCAACCUUUAGCUUAUAACAAAUAAUUAAUAAAUAGAUAAAAUCUUAAUCUUUUAACGAAUACAUUAAAUAAUAAGUUUAUUAAUAGUCGCAAUGUUAGGUAGGUAUAAUUUGGUCAUGCAAACACGAAAUCUUUCCUUUUUUAAAGACCACUAGCUGUAACAAUAUAUAAAACAAUUAAUGUAAUUCUUAUAAUAGGAGAAAAAGUACUCAUUACCUCUAAUAAAAAUGGGUACCAUCAAGUAUAGAAUAAGACCAAAUAUUUUAAAUCCUUGAAAUUAAUAUAAUCUAAAAAUUAACAUUGAACAAGAAGAAAUCAAAAUUCUGACUUUGAUCACAUAAUCGAUGAAAAUCAGGACAUAUAAUUAACAUUUGUUUAUUUUACUUUUAAAUUACUUCUUUUCCUUUAUUAUUUGAAGAAGAGAAUUGCUCUGUAAAAACCUCUCACUAUAAUACAUACAACUUAAACAUUUUUUUGUUUGAAAUGAAAAUUAACUUAAAAGCUAAAAACUAGUAAAAUUAUCUUUUUAGGCAGAAGGCUAAUUAAAAAAAUAAGGGUGCAUUUGGAAUUGAGGUUGAGCAGCUGUAGCUUAAAAGCUAUAGCACUAAAGUAUUUGGUAAAUACUAGUUAUUGUAGCUUGGAAGUUACAUUGAUAUGAUUUUUUACUUGUAUAAUGAAAAAUCUAUUAUAUUUUAAUAAUUUUAUCAAAAUUAUUAUUUAAAAUUUACAUUUAUUAUAUAUUACUAACUUUUGUUUCCUAGUUAGAGAUUUUUUUUUCCACAGCAACUAUACCUUUUAAGCUACAGUACCUCAAUCCCAAACACACCCUAAAGCUACUUAAAACCCACUUCAUCAAUUUCCAGGCGCCAAAUCUUUAUAGCUUCAUAUCUUUUGGUUCAAUUAUCACCACAAGUACGUCCAUUUGUAUACCAAUCGACAGAGAUCUAUGUAUCGUCAGCAAAUUAACAUCUAAUCACUUUAUCAAUUUGUAUAUUCUAAUGCUCAAUAUGAAAUUCUAUAGGUUGGCCGAACAUUCCCCUAAAAUUAAUUAAAUUUUACCGAAAGAGAAUUAUCAAGUGUGUCUAGCUUUGUAUUGCUUUCUGGCGGUCAAGUUGGAAACUCUCCACUCAAAUUAACGUGUUAGAGAUUAACAUACUCCUAGUGAUGUUGAUGGAAGAGGAAUUUGGAAAAUAUGCCAACAUCUUGUGACCAGGCAAUGAGAUAUGUAGAAGUUAUAUAAUUAGAAUUUUGGAGGCAAAAGAAUGUGGCUCUGUUAUUACGUAUAUUUGGUUAUUUCCACACGUGAUCUGUUUUGAAUGGCUCAAGUUAUAUUGAGAUUUGGAAAUGAUAGUUUGAAAAUGUGAGAUCUUCAAUUGAUAUAAGAUAAUCCAGGGUAGAUGAGGAGAUAUUGCAAAUAAAUUGAUGGAAAGAGACGUAUCAAACUUAAAGGGAGAUAUUAUAUUUUGCUAAGCACUAAAGCAUAUUAUUAUACCCUUAAGGUAAUUAUGGUCAAAUCUUGCAGAUGCAGUAACUCAUUGGCCUGAAAAAAUAAUUAAUCCAUUAACUUGUAAUAAUUAAUAAUCUAUAAAAUCUUAAAUCUAUUAACAUAUUACAUUAAAUACUAAUUUUGUUAAUAGUCGCAGCCUUAACAGGCAUUAUUUUGUCAUCAAAACAAUAAAUCUAUCCAUGUUUAAAGACUAUUAACUGUAACAAUAAAUUAACCCUAAAUCUCUUCAUAAGAGGUGAAGAGAGAGUCAUUAUCCUGAUCAAGAAAAGUAUCAUUAAAUCUAGAAUAUGACAGUCAAUGGCUGAAAAAAUUAACAAGCGUGUAUUCUAUGACCAAAUAUAAUACCUAAAAAUUAACGUUGAAAAAGAAAUUAAUCAAAAUUGUCACUUUGAUCACAUAAUCAAUGAAAAUCAAGAUAUAUAAUCAACACCUAUUUAUUUUACUUUUAAAUUACCAUUCUUUUUGUGUAUGUUAGAACAAGGGAGUUGUUCCGAAGAAACUCUCACUAUGAUAUAUACAACUUAAACGUUUUUGUUUAAAAUACGAAUCAACUUAAAAGCAAACAACCAAUAAAAUUAUCUUUUUAGAAGACUUUAUGCAUGGAGAGUGGAAUUAGUUAACAUUUUAUGAAUUUAACUAUUUACUUUAAGAAUGGCUCACGUGAUUUUGAAAUUUGGAAGUGAUUGUUUGAAAAUGUGAGAUCUUCAAGGAUCAUUAUAGAUAGACCUGAAGAAUCAUUCAUCCUUGAACUAUAUAAGAGUUACUAAAUGUAUAAAAUAUUUUAGCAUAUAUAUUGAAUAAUAAAACUUAUUAAUAAAAUGAAGGAAAAAGAACAGCCACAUCCCCAAAGUUUGGGGAGAUAAUCAUAUAGAAUCAAAGUUUUUAAUAGGGGACAUCAAGACCACUUUUAACUAUAAUACCCGUGGUAAAUAGUAACUAAAAAGUUUGACUUUAAAAGUUUUUAAUAAAAAUACAAAUAUGAUUUAAAUAGUUUAAUUUGUCUAAUACACUAAUAAUAUUAAAUUUUUUUAUAUAAAAUAAUUCUUAACAUUUAAAUUAUUAUAUUUAUUUUAAUAAUAUAUUUAUAUUUAUUAUACAAAUUUUAGAUAAAUCUUUGGGUUAAAUAGGUUUUAUCUCAUGUAUUAAUAAUAAUAAAAUUAUUUUAUAAUAUUGAAAAUAAUUUAAAUUUUAUAUAUUUAUUUUAGUAUUAUGUUUCUAGUUAUUAUAAAAUUUAGGCUAUCAAUAUUAUGUUUCUACUUAUACAUUUAAUUUAAUAAAAUUCAGGUUGCAAUUAGGCUAUAACUUGAAAAAAAAAGUACUAUAGGUGCGAAUUAAUUAAUUGAUAGAGUACAUGAAAGUUUGCUUAAUAAAGCCUGUUAGAAUUUGAUUCCUCUGAACUAAUCAAAUAUUAAAUAUUGUUGAAGAUCUAUAAAUUUAGGUAGUAGAUAAAAUGAGAAGCAGGCUUAGGCUUAAUUACCUUGAACAUAAAAAAUUCCUUUGAAUCGCAUAUAAUUCUCUUAACGAAGAUGGAGAAGAUAAGACGCUACAGUUGAGGUUGAGUUUGUUACCACUUAAGCCGAGAUGCUUCAACUUACUCAAACCUCCAAAAUAAUAAUGAAUCUAUUUUGUAGCCGUUUAUAUUUUUCAGUAUUGUAUCAUUUGAGAGCAUAUAUUUGUUAAUCUUGUUCCAGCUAAGUGCAAUUAAUCUAAUUGUGCAAAGAAUACAAUUUGAAUUGAAUCUUUCAGACCUCACAAUAAAGAAAGGUAAAUUUGAUCACUUUUAAAUAAUUAAAAAAAAAGAAAAAUUAGUUGCAAUUAGAGUUUUUCCUUUUCAAAUGUAUUUAUAAAGUAUAAGAUGAAAGUAUAAGACCAAAUCUUUUUUAUACAAACUCGUUAAUCCAACGACUUUAAUUCUACAAGCCUUUUUCAUUUGUUCUGAUGACAUUUUCAAUGAUGGAUCGAGGCGUAGCAAAAGCGGAAAUUGAUAGGGUAGGAAAAUUAGAUUUCAUUUUAGUAUUGGAUCAAACCAACACAAUUAGGUUAUGCUUUAAUCGAAACAUGAUUAGAUAUCGUUCUAACCCAUACUACUUAAUGAGAUUUUUAAUAAUGCGUAAAGCAAGAUUAAAUGAUGUUCUAAUCUAAACGACUCUAUAAGAGAGAUUUUGAUAGAUAGCACCCAGAGGAAAUUAUAAAGAGGGGUUUUAUUAAAUAAUUGAAUAUGAACUAUGAAAAUAAUUACAAGACCUCUUUAUUUAUAAUAGAGAAAACCCACUUCCUAAGUUAACUUAAAAAAGGAAAAAAAAUCACAAUUAUAAUGGAAAUAAAAGAUACUUCCCUAAGUUAACUAAAUCUCAUACCUUAAUUGACUUUAAUAAAAAUAGAAAGCCCUAAAAUAAUAAAAUACCAUAAUUGACUCUAAUAAAACACCUUUGAUCAAGAUUAUAAAAUCUUGUCCCAUUACCAACUCUAGCAAACUACUAACCGCUACAAUUAAGCCGAUUAACCACCUUAUUCUGAAUAAACAUAAUUUUGGGACAUAAAGCAAGUGACUCAUCACCCCAAUGAAGUUGCCAGCUACUUUAAUUUUUAGAAACCUGUAUGGACAAGCAGUUCUUAUUUCUGUUUAUGGACCGUCAGGUACUCUCCAUUUUUUAUGUCAACUUGGAUAAGUUGAGUCAUCUGGCUGUAUGUCAUCAAACUUCAUAUUAUAUGUUUCAAGAAGUCUGUUGGGAAAAUGACCAUGUGUACUAAACCUUUAUAUGGACUCCAACCAAUUCGAACAGAAUCAGAUAACCACCUCUGUGUAUAUGGGAAGCCUAUCUUCUUUUAUGUGUCUAAACCAAAUAGGAUAUUAGGAACCCAUGAUAGCGGCUUUCAGAUCUUUUCAUCUUAAAAAAAAAAAAAAAUUGAAUUUGAAGGCUUUGAUCACAUUCAGGUUGUUACAAAUUAUAUUUGUGAUAUGAAUAUCUACUCACAAUUGUUGUGCCUUCAAGUGUGCAUGUUGCACACUGUUCUGCAUCAUGUUAUUAGUCCUCCAAAGGGUCAUGCUAAUGAGAUAACACCUAACACGGUUGGAUAUUACACUGCCCGGUUAUUUGUUGAGAGAAAUGAAAGUCAAUAGUGGGUACCUUAUUAUUCAGAACAUGAUAGCCACAGGCUAUCUAUUGUCAAACACCUUGCCUUUGGUAACAUUAUUACAGAUAUCCUCAAGUACUUCCACAUUCUGAAAACUGACCUGACAUAUGAGGAAACUAAGGAAUUGAGGAUUUAAAUGGGAUAAUGCAUGGAAGGAGAAGUUGGGUGAAAAAUUUGAUGCGAAAUGGUUUUUAUCCUCAAGUUGAGUUUACUAGUUUUUGAUCUCCAACUCGCCAUUUUGCUGAGGAAGAAAUUAAGGACAUACAUGUAUGAGCAUAUAUUGGGUGAGAUAUAUGCUCUCUUUGAUCGCAAAACCAUUUUUGAGCAACAUGUAAACCAGCAAUUUCAUCGUAUUUUUUUUGGGAUAGUCAAGAGCAGUUUCUUAGCAUCUUUAGCUUCAGCAUCCACCACAAGUAUGUGGUUAGUCAUUUCAUAUCUUCUUUCUGGUCAAGGCUGAGAUUAUGUAAGGUUAGAGGGUGCCAUGGCACUUGCAGAGUUUGAAUUUUUUUUUUUUUUUGAGUUUUCAAAUAAAAUAUGAUAAGUUAAAUAUAAAAAGUCUAAUUUGAUCCCUGAACAUUUCAUCUAUAAUUUAUAUAUAUAUAAUGUCAUUUUAUACACAAACAUUAUUGUCAAAAUAAAGUACAUGUCAAUGAAUAAAAAUAGUUAAAAAACAGUAGAAGAAGCAAGCAUGUAAAAAAAAAAACAAAAAAAAAAUGGUUGUGAUGGUCUACAUUCAAUUUUUUUUUUAUAUACUCUCUCUUUUUAACUAGGCUAAGAAAUUUUAUGCUGGUGGGGGCUCUUUUGCUUUGUAAUUGUUUUCCAUUAUAAAUUAUUAGCACCUUUUUUCAUGUAAUAUAUUGUCAUUGAAUAGUAGUCUUAGUAAUAUUUUUAUUUUUAAUGACUUAGCUUAUUAAUUGUUAAUGCUGAAAAACAACCUCAACAACUGAAUUUUUUUUCUAGGGAGUAAUAGCACGAAUCCAAACUCAAAUACCGAUCCAAAUGCAUCUCACCACAUCUACCAACCAUAAAACACGGUUAGGAUAUGCCGAAAGAGUCUAGGAUAGAUCCUCCAAUGCCUAAGUCAGAUAGUUGAUAUAUAAAGGAAGGAAAAUGGAUUGCAAAACUAGAAAUAAGCAAGAAUUCAAGAGAUAUGUUUGGUGUUGUUCUGAAGGUCAUGUAAGAGGCAGAUGAUUAAGUGGUUCGUAACUUUUUAGAGCUUCUAGUCAAAUUUGCAAACCCCCUCCUCUAACGCCAUUUAUAGGUUAAAAUAGGCUUCUGGUCCUGGGUUUUUAUUUCCUUGAUUUUAGCUCACUCUCUUAGCAGGUGCAGGUUGCAUCUAUCAAUUAAAGGUGGUUUAAAAGGUCAUAACACUUAACUUCCCUAAAGAAUAGGACAUGUUUAGAGCACAUUUGACAUGACAUGGACAAAUAGAUUUUCAUGUCAGAUUAUCAGAUCUCCAAAUAGGCAGAGCAUGUUUGACAUGACUUGGACAAACAGAUUUUCAAGUCAGAUUGAUAAAUCUCCAAGUAGGCAUAGCACACUUGACAUGACCUCGACAAAUAGAUUUUUAGGUCAGAUUGGUGUAUCUCCACGAUGGCAAUUAAGGUUUCUAGGUCAGACCAGGAGAUAUUUUAGUCAAACUUUAGACCUCAGUAAAGCUAAAAUGAUGGUCUUGAUCUCAAUAAGACUAGAUCAUACUUGUUCACUUAGGAUCUCAAAAAGGCCAAAACAACUUUAACAAGCCAUACUUUAAUAAGGCUAGUAGAAUAGAAUCAAUUAGACCUCAAUAAGGCUGAAAUGGAGUCCAAAGAAUUACCAACUUCAAUCUCAAUAAGAUUGGAUCAAAUAAUUAAAUGAAGUUAUCUAAUAAUUAAUUUAGGUUGAACCUCAGUAAUAUCAAAAUUGAUGACUUUGAUCUUAAUAAGAUCAUAUCAUACUUGUUAACUUUAGACCUUAAUAAGGCCAAAACGAUUAUAACAAGCUAGAUCUCAAUAAGGCUAGUAGAACAAAAUCAAUUGGAUCUCAAUAAGGCUAAGGUGGUAAUUUCCAUCUUAAUAAGACCAAAUCAUACAAUUUAUUCAAAUUGGACCUCAACAAAGCCAAAAUGAUGACCUUGAUCUCAAUAAGAUCGGACAUAUAAUAUAUUCACAUCGAACCUCAAAAAGUCCAGAAUGAUGACCUCGAUCUCAAUAAGAUUGGACAUAUAAUUUAUUCACAUCGAACCUCAAAAAGGCCAGAAUGAUGGCCUCUAUCUCAAUAAGAUUGGAUCAUAUAAUUUAUUUAUUUUAGAACUCAACAAGGCCAAAAUGAUGAUCUCGGUCUUAAUAGGAUUGGGUCAUACAAUUUCAUGUUGGACCUCAACAAGACCAAGACAGACGACCUCAAUCUUAGUAAAAUCGAAUCAAAUGAGUAGAUAAGUUGAGAAGCAUUGGAAAUGCACUUCUGAAUAACCUCAUUGAUAUUGAAAUAAAUUACAAGAACUGAAUAUAAGUUGAAUUGAAAUAACAAAGUAAGAAAUAAACUCUUCUAACAUGGUUAAAAAGGAAACACAAAUAAGAACAUUCGUGCUAGGGUCGGCCUACUGAUAGUAGUUUCGCAAAUGCUUUAUGUGCUAUGCCUUCCUAACCUUGGCACGAGUGGCCUUAUACCUUUCUUAAUUGAAUAGUCUCCUCUUUUGCUUCACAAGUUUUUGUUAUUUGUUUAUAGCCAGCCAAUGGCAUAUACUAUGAGGAUCUAUUCCUUAUAUAUCCUCAUGAUUCCAUGCAAAUAUAUCAUUGUACUAAAAAAUUAAGUUCAGAAAUGAUUGAAAAUUUCACAAUUUUUGUCCCCUUUUACUACUCUUCUCCACUUGUCCUUAUUGGUGCUUCUUUCAUUUCUUUAUUAUGUCACUGCUAUUAUAAUUUAUUCUCAACUCAACGCUAGUGAUUUUCAUAGAUUCUUUUGUGGUUAUAGUGUAAUAACUUCAAACCACUUGUUCCUAGCCCCUUAUUACUCUGAUCCUACCUUGGACCCUAAAUCUCACGCAUUGCAUGUGGGUUAAGCUCAUUGCUCUUAUUAUCCUAUUGAAUGGACUGCCCAAAAUAACUUGAUAAAGGCUAGGUUCAUCAACCACCACCCUAUCACCAUCAUCGUUUUCUGUAGUGAGCUGGACCUUUAGUCAAUUGUAGAUAAAUUACUCUGAUGGAAGUCAACUUAGGUCCUUCAAACCUUCUUGAUAAUGUGUUGAUAGGAUCAAGCCUGAGGUCGCCUAUUUGUAGACCACCCAAAAACAAAAUGUUAGUUGAGUUGCCCUUAUCUACAAAGCCUAAUUCAAAUCCUACCUUGACAAGGUAACUUUCACCGGAAGCGUAUCUUCAUAUGGGUGGGUGAACACUUCCUCAUCUUCAUCUUUGAACAUAAUUGGUACUCUUUGAACUCAUUGCCUCUUUGAUGUCGGAACAUUAAAUUUCACCUCAUAACUUUUCAAGGAUUGUUAACUAUAAUUCCGCCUCGAACAAUUCAAGUCCCUCGCUAGGUAUGCCACCCCAUGAUCACCAUCACUACAUUGUCUUUGUUGUUCCCUCUGUCCUAUCUCUUCUUUUUUCUUCACAUUUCCUUUAGAUAUUGGUUUUACAUAAGCUAUUCAAUAUCUUUUUUCAAGUCUAUGCAAUCUGUGGUUUAUACUCGGAUGCAUUUUGGAGGUUUAUGCAUACGUGAGCAGGAUAUGUAAGGAUUAAAAAAGGGAUUGAGAAUCAAUUGGUUGUAGAAUAGUUUGUAUAGUAAGAGGAUUGCAACAUAUGCUAAGGUGUACGAUCACACAAAAUGGAUGUAAAAAACUAAAGAUGCAGAAGAAGAAAAAAAAGAGAAUGGAAAAAUAGAGGAUAGGUUUAGUGUGAAAAGGAGAACUAAGAAGCGGAGGAGAUAACCUUAGUACAGCUUGAAAAGGAACUCAGAUAAUAAGCGUCAUUAUGACAGAGGCUUGUUUAACUACAGGUGACCAGAGAGGCCAUGACGAAACAAAAACGUUGAAAGAAGUUUGAUAGUAAAAACCAAGAUUUCUGAAUAAUGGUAUGGUUUAUUAAAAAGGCUGAAUGAAUAAAACCAGAGUUUUGAACUCUUUUUAUAACAAGUCUAAAUAUCGCGAAUUUACCAAAAUAGGCAAAUCCAAAAUCUAAUAUGAUAAUUAAAUUCAGCUAACCAAAAUAAGAAAAGGAAAAAAAAUGGUACUAAAGUCCGAGUUCUAGAAAAAAGAUAAAAAUCCUAGAAGAAUCAGGAAAAAGAAGAAAGAAUCUUAAAACUAAAAAAUGAUCAGGAAAGAAACAAAUUUUUUUGUCCGACCAUUGUGUAAAAUGGCUUAUGCGGAUUUUUGUUCGUCUCGUUACAAGCUUCAAAACGGUACAUUAUAUGCAAUCUGUGGUUCACACAAUUCUUUGAAAUUUCGUAUGCUUCCUCUUUCUUAGUCUUUGAUAGAAUUCUCGCACCUACCUUUCUAGAAUAAAGCGAAAAACCCAACAAUUUUAUAGAUCAUUCAAACCUUUGAUCCUGGUUAUCUUAUUAAACCUCUCCACAUGGUGAUUUGGGUCAAUUUUUCCUCCAUAAACCAAGGCCAUAACCACAUACUUGGGUGGCAAAUCCACUACCAUUACCUUCGGUGUCAACAGAGACUCGUCGUCAAGCAGUAAUUUUCCUACUACUUUCUUGCCCUCUGCCUUUGCCUCUAAUGCCUUUAGAGUUUUUUGAGAUUGGAACAUUUGCUGCUUAAUUACAAAAAUGUUAGGGAUCCCAACAUUUGAGGCCCAACUUGAGUCCCAAUGUUGUUUGUCACUCAUUUACUGAAUGAUAGAUUUUACAGCUAGUAAAAUUACUUAAUUACCAUCCAAUCAAUGAAUGCCACACCUAGGGGUAUUGUUUAAUACUUAUUCGGUCUAGACCCGAACUGGACCUACGAUUACCCAGCCCAGAGAUGAAGCGGGUCCGGUCCUGGACAUCACUUGAUAAGCCUGGAACUCAGUCUAGAACUCGAAUUUUGUUGAAAAAAUAUUAUAAAAUAUAUAUUAGUUUAAAUAAUUAUAUUUAUUUGACCCAUCUAUUAUAUUUAUGUAAAGUUUUAAAUAUUUAAAAUUCAUAUUUUCAUGUCCAAUUUCAUACAAAUAAAUUUAAAAAUUGUAAAAUUACAAAAAAAAUUAAAAAAGUGUACAUAUGUAAUAUUAAAAAGUAUAAAAUCUGAUAUAAUAACCCAAAUUAAAAAAUCCGACCCAAAAGCCCGACCCAUGUGUCUAAAAAAUAUAUCUGCAUCGGAUCCAGGCAUUACCAUACCCAAGCCCGGACCCAAGUUUUGCCGACCCUUGCCACAUCAAUUAGGAUUCAAAUUGGGACUUAGAUGUUGACGUACCUAGCAUUGCUCUUUCAAUUGUCCAUAUACAUUCACGAGCGUUUACUUAAUGUAUUGAUCAAUGUCUCUUUCGAUCGUGAGGAUUCGUAUUCAUAAAAUUCAAAAAGCAAUGCAUGUGAUUAUCGUGAGCAAGUUCUCAUUGAACUGAUGAUGCAUUGACAAACCACGGAAUCGAACUAAUGGAGUCAAAUUUGGCAACCAAAUUUUACUAUAUAAGGGUCUUAGCUAGUUACUGAGGAGCUGCAUCUAAUAAGAGCAACCGAGAUCUAGAGCAACAAUGCAGGCACUGAAAAGUAAGCCAAACUAGUGAUAAAACUUUUCUUAGUUACAGUUAUAUGUGUAUAAUGUAUUUAACUUUUGAUGUUUUAAUAAUGAACAGGUACUACUAUAAGAAGUCUACAAACGGUUGCGAAAGUAGCAAAGCCUAAAAUGGAAAGGGCACUAGAAGUACUAGUACGGGCCAGAGAAAGCAUCAAACCAGCUUACCCAACUCCUGAACACCUGAGAAAUUUUAAACUUUCCCUCAUGGACCAGAUCAAUUUUCCGGUCUAUGUGAGCACCAUUUUUCUGUACAAAGCAGACGGUAAUGUGAAAGCUGACCAGAUUUCACAAUGUCUCAAGUCAUCCCUAUCAAAAACUCUCACAAAAUUCUACCCACUUGCUGGGAGGGUCAAAGACGAUUUCUCAAUUGAUUGUAACGACGAAGGGGCUGAGUAUGUUGAAGCUUUUGCAAACGGCUUUUUGUUUGAAUACCUACAAAAGCCUGAUCAGAAUUUAUUACGGGAUUUUCACCCGUUUAACUACGCAGAAUCUCCAGUAGCAAGCAACGGGGGUCCAAUGAUGCGCAUGCAAGCAACUUUUUUCAAAUGCGGGGGGCUGGCAAUCACAGUUUGCACUUGUCACAAGCUCAUUGAUGGAGUCUCGUUAGGUAUAUUUGUUAACAGCUGGACCACCACAGCUCGUGCAGGUAAUAAGGAAGUGGUUCCUAGAUUUGUUGCAUCAACGAUUUUUCCGGCAAGUGAAUCCUUCGUGCCCUUACCUUUACAUAUUUCACCAGUCCAAGCAAACAGGUUUGUAUUUGAUACAAAGAAAAUUGACCGACUCAGGGCUGAAGUUUCAAGUGCAAGCGUGCCUAGACCAACACGCGUCGAGGCACUGACUGCACUUAUUUGGAAGUGUGCAAGGGCUGCAUCAAGAUCAAACCUCGGGUAUUCAAGACCUUCUUUGUCAGCACACGCAAUAAACGUGCGUGCCGUGGCCGAGCCGCCCUUGCCUGACAACUCUGUGGGCAAUUCCGUCGCGUAUCUGAUGGCGCAGGCGAGUGAAAAGGAAAUUGAAACACUACAAGACUUGGUUUGUUCAUUAAGGAAAGCAAAGGCAGAAUUUAGACGAAACGGUCUCAAAACCUUGCUAGAAAACAAGAGUAUAUUCGAUAUUCCGGAGUCAAUUAAAGACAAGUUUGAAAAAGAUGAGAUCGAUUUCUACACUUUCUCCAGUAUUGUUAACUUUCCAUAUUAUGAAGUAGCAGAUUUUGGAUGGGGAAAGCCAGUGCACCUGACUUUUCCAAAUUAUUUGGUGUCAAACUUGAUUAUGCUAAUGGACACAAACGAUGGUAAGGGAAUAGAAGUAUUGGUGACUCUGAGCCCCGAAGACAUGGCCUUUUUUGAACGUGACCAAGAACUGCUUGCAUUUGCUACUACAAAUCCAUCAGUACUUGGAUAUACGAACACGAGCAAACUAUAAGAUGCCCGUCCGCUUAUUUAGCCACUUCGACUAUAUUAAAGUCUUAUGUUUAUGUAAUUAUUUAUUAAUUAAAAUAACUGCUGUACCGUACAUCCGCCUUGGCCGUACAGCAGUAACGUAAUUUUGGCUAGUUUGAUAAUUAAAAAAAAAAGUGAAAAUGAACUAUACAAUCUAUGAAUUUGAUAAGAGGAAAGAAAAUAAAAAGAAUUGUACAAUAUAUUUUAUGUGAAAUUGGACAUGAGAUCAAGUCUACAACUAUUUCAAGAAAAGAACAGUAAAAUCAUAUUUCACAAAAGCCGCCCAUGUACGCACAUAUCCUAUUAAUUUAGUUGCAAGUAAAUUAACUAUUAAUUUAUAUAGUAUUUUAGUACAAUAUAAAAAUAAGAUUUUUUUUUUAUAAUAUAUGAUCGUCUAAAUUUAUCGAAUUGUUAAUUUAGCAUACUAGUCCUAAAAUUGUCAAAAAUUAUUAUUUAAUUGAUAUUAUUGAUUUCUUAUAUUCAUGUAUCAAUAUUUAAAUAUUUAUUGCUAUACGAGGAGUAAUGAAAAAGCCUAGAGAUAAUGACUUGAAACCAACAAAGUGUUGGCUCCACUGGCAAUGGAGUCCCCUUAAGUGGCUUGACUGGGUUUGCUCCCCAGUUCGAGUCGCAGGGAAGUCGCCUUUGUUGGGAGAACCUGUGCCUCCCGGUUCGAGCGGGGACUUUUAGUCUGGGUUGUGGUACGGGCUUAAAGGUGCCUCCCACAGUUGGGGCCCUCCCCAGGAUACCUCGUGAUUAAUAUCAAAAAAAAAAAAUGACUUGAAAGAAUGGUUAGUGAUUCUCAAAAUGGAUAUUCUCCAUAAAUAUUAACAAUAUACGCUGUAAAGAUAAGAACAAUAGUUUCUAAUUAAAUAAAAAGUACAUUAAAAUAUGGGCCGUGAUAUUUUCAUUUCUCAAAUUGUGCAUACGCACCAUACUUUAAAAUAUAAUUAUAAAAAAUUCAAACCACUUUUAAUAAUUUCAAAUAAGAAAAUUUCAAGCAAUUAACUAAUUAAAAUUUCCUUAUAUAUAUAUAAAUAUAUAUUCUUUUAUAUAUAUGGAUGUGAAAAUGUGGAUUCACUAUUACACCACUGGUUUAAUAGUGUUAGUCGAAAAAAAACUAGAAUAGAUAUAGUGUAACAACGAAUCUACACGAAAUAUGACUUUAGGAAUCCACACCUGAGAAUUAUUUUAUAUAUAGAUAAGGAGGGUUAUUUCAACAUAAAUUUUUAUCCAAAACUUUAACGUAAAUUUUACUACUGAAGAAUUAUAAAUUUCAUAAUUUUACUACUAUUGUGACAAAGAUAGUAAUUGACCUUUAGUUGUUGUUUAAAAUAUCAAUUAUGCCCUUGCUUUGGGAAAAAAAAAAUUGCAAGAUUCAUUAUUCAUAUUUUGACUUGUAAAAUACGAAUAGAACUCUGAACAGAUAAAAUGAAUUUUACCCUUGAAUAUAGACUACUAAUUGCCUAAUAUUAUAGUUAAUACAUGUUUAUGCUGCCAACCAUGAAGCUGUUUUAUUAUGGAAAUUGAGAAAAUAGUCUUUUUGUCAAGGGCGUUACUGAUAUUUUAUAGAUGUGUCAUGUGUGUAAGAGUUCAGCUAUUCAAAUGGAGAAAUUUAUUUAUUAAAUCCUUUUUCUUGAUAAACUCUUUAUAAAUUUCAAAGAAGGGCAUAAGUGGUAUAUUAAAGUUCAACAUAGAAAAAUAAUAAAAUGUAAGAUUUUAUGAUUAUUUAGUAGUAAAAUGUUAAUAAUACUUAUUGCACCCGGAUGUUAUUUCCUAAUUACUAUUUUAUUAGUAAAAAAAAAUAAUAGUUUUUCAUAAUUUUUGUAACGCUUUCAUUUAUAAACAGUGCAUAGUUUAGGGGGAAAAGAGUUGAACUAUCGAAAGAAAAUAAAAAUUGUCAUUAUCGGACCCUAAAUUAUGCACUGUUUAUAAAUGAAAAGAGUUGAACUAUCGAAAGAAAAUUAAUUAUCCGAUAAUGACAAUUUUUAUUUUCUUUCGAUAGUUGAACUAUCAUCAACCUACCUCCAUCUUUUCCUUAUCCUUUACACACAAAAAAAGGAUAACUUGAGGUUUUAAAAAAUAAGGGGAUGAUUUGAAGAUAGUCAAUUCAAGAGGAAAGUAAUUUUAAAUUGCCCAAUUAUUUUUGAAAAUCUCAAGUUAUCUUUCAUUCAAAAGAUUAAAAAAGGGGUAUGUUGAUUUUUUUUUUUAAUUUUCGUUACAAAAAGUGAAGGUAAAUUAAGGUGUUUAAAAAUAAGGAGGUGAUUUGAAUUCAAAUCAUGAGUCAAAAUAAGGAGGUGAUUUGAAUUCAAAUCACAAGUCGUAAUCUAAAAUCAACCCUUAAAGUCAAAAAAAAUGAAAAACAAAACAAGAUUUGGAAAAAUCAUGCAUCACGGAAAAUUAAUUAUUUAUUAUUGUCAAAUAAGCUUCUCCAACUUCAACGUUAUGACUUUUAAGCACUUAGUGGUCGACUCCUUUGUUGAUGAGGUCAUUUGGAAAAUUAGUGGUUCCGUAAUCAUUUUCUUUUUCUUUUGCCUAAUUAAAGAAAAAUAAAGGGAGCAUUGUUUGAGCUUUUUUAAAGAGAAAUAUACAUAAAUAAUUGAUGUUAGCAGACAAGAUUAUGUUAGAGUUAUUGUACUUUUGUUUACAAGAUUAUGUUAGAGUUAUUGGACUCUUGUCUCUUACGAACAUCUGAGAAAAAAAUUGUUCUAUUGGUGUAAACAACCUUUCAUAAGGUUUAGGGUAAAGGACACCAAUACUUGCAAGGUUUGAGAAAAUUGAGACAUCAAGACCCUUUUUUUUUUUUUAACUAUCAUAACCUUUGAAAAUGGUAAUUAGAACAUUGACUUUAAAUUUUUUGUAAAUAAUAUUAAUAUAAUAUAAUCUAUUCAGUGGACUAAUAAUAUUAAAUUAUUUUUAACACUUAAAAUAAUAUUAAAAUUUUAAAUUUUUAUAUUUAUUUUGAUAAUGUAUUUGUAUUUAUGGGUUAAAUAGAUUUGACGAUUAAUUAAAAUAUCUCCCCGUUAAUAAUACUAAAAUUAUUUUUAUUAUUAAUUUUACAUAAUAUUAAAAAUAAUUUUAACUUUAAUUAAUCUCUUUUGAUAUUAUGCUUCUAUUUGUUAAAAAUUAGUUUAAUAUAACGAAAUAUGUCUAAUAGAUUGUAAAAAUGCUAUAUUUCUAUCUAUUAUAAAAUUUUGGGGUCAAUUUUUUAGAUUUAUAAAGUUAAAGGGUAUUAUGGUCAAAAGGGGAUCUUGAUGUUUCUUAUUGAAAACUUAGGGGUCUUUUGAGUAUUUCUCUAAAUAUUAGAGGUGUAGGUGACCUUUUCCUUUAGGGUUGUAACAUUUCAUUCUAACUUUUCAAUUUAUCUACAUGUACAAAUCAGUAUAUAUUGAUUUGAUUAUACAAUCUCAUUAGAAGCUGUUCUAUUUCACCAAAUUCUAAGAGUCGUAAAGCUUUUAAAUUAUUCAUCCUUAUAUAGUACUCUAUAAUAUCACAGUCUGGCGCUGCUAACUAAUAGUGGACCUAAAAAUAAUUUUUCAUAACUCCCAUUUAUUUGACAGACAACAGCGAGUCAUAUAAAAAAUUAAUUUUAAAUUGAUGUAAGUUAUAGAUGUUGUACAUGUAGCAAUAUUACAAUUUAUAUAUUAAUUAUGAUAUUACCGAAAUAUUGUUUAUGAAUUUUAAAUUUUUAUAUUGGGUGGCAUAAUAAAGAUAUAAUGGAGAAACAAGAUAGUUUAGAGCCUGUUUGAGAUUAAGGUUCUGUAGUUUUUAAGCUACAGCUGCUGUAAAAAAAAGAUGUAAUUAUGAAAUAAAAUUUAAUAGUAUAUAGUAAAUAUAAUUUUUUAAUAAAAUUUUUGACAAAAUUAUUAAAGAUAUAAUAUAUGUUUUUUAUCAUAAAAGUGAAAAAUCAUAUCAAGAUAACUUCCAAGGUACAGUAGUUAGUGUUUACCAAACAUUUUAGUACUAUGACUUUUAAGGUACAACUGUUCAACCUCAAUUCCAAACGCACAUUUAGUGAUGGUGGAUUCAAGAACUCCUUCCGAGAAGCCAACGACUUAUUAUUUUGCACAAUCUUGAUUUUCGACUCUGAAAAUAAUUUCCAGAAAAGGUCUAUUUUUGUAAUUUGUUUUAAAAUUCUUUUAAUGUAUCUACAUACUGUACAGAAUUAGGAUUAAUUAUUAUAAAUUUUGUUUAUCAACCACCAAUCAUCCACUUAAAUUUUACUGUAAAUAUAAAUUAAAAGGCAACACAAUUUUUUUUUUUUAAAUGAUAGAAGCAAAGAGAAUUUUUCUAAUAUACGAGUGCACAAAUAUUUUAGAGCAUGACAUUAAGUAACAACCAUGCAUAUGCCUAAUUUCUAUAUCACUCAGGAGAAAUAUUCAAUCUCCCACAAUCCUUUUAAAGAAUGCAAGUAUUAUUUAAAGCUUCACCUCGCUUGAUAUGCUCUGCAAUUAUUUAUGAACAGGCUUUAUCCCCACGAGUCAAUAAUUGUAGCAUCUUUCUACCCUACUAGCUGUGGUACAUAAUUAUAAAUAUUCACAAGAUAUGUAUGAAUUUCAGCACAAAUUUGUAUGUGGUCGGGUUGCAAAAGAUGAUUUUUGUGCGCUUAAUUAUUUUUUGAUAAUUUUUUGUCAUGGAGACAUUUAUGGUAAUGCAGGGUUAAUAUUUAAUUAUACAUCAAUAACAGCCCGACAAAGUGCUAAUAUGACUGAAGAUGAGAUCGAUCAAUGGUUGGAUUCGAAACCACGUAAAUCGGUGUCGUACGUGACAUUUUAACGUAAAUUUUACUACUAAAGAUUUAAAAUAUCAAUUAUGCCCUCGCUUUGGAAAAUAAAAAUUGCAAGAUUCAUUAUACAUAUUUUGACUUGUAAAAUACAAAUAAAACUCUGAACAGAUAAAAUGAAUUUUACCCUUGAAUAUAGAAUACUAAUUGCCUAAUAUUAUAGUUAAUAGCUGUUUAUGCUGCCAACCAUGAAGAUGGUAUAUUAUGGGAAUUGAGAAAAUAGUCUUUUUGUCAAGGGCGUUACUGAUAUUUUAUAGAUGUGUGUAAGAGUUCAGCUAUUCAAAUGGAUAAAUUUAUUUAUUAAAUCCUCUUUCUUGAUAAACUCUUUUUAUAAAUUUCAAAGAAGGGCAUAACUGGUGUAUUAAAGGUCAACAUAGAAAAAUAAUAAAAUGUAAGAUUUUAUGAUUAUUAGUAGUAAAAUGUUAAUAAUAUUUAUUGGGCCUAGAUGUUAUUUCCUAAUUACUAUGUUACUACUAAAAAAAAAUAAUAACCGUUUUUCAUAAUUUUUGUAACGCUUUCAUUUACAAACAGUGCAUAGUUUAGGGGGAAAAAGUUAAACUAUCAAAAAAAAAAAAAAAACUUGUCUUCAUCGGAUAAUUAAUAGAUUUAUUCAUAUUAUUCCAACUUUAGCGUAUAAAAACGUCAUGUCUAUUUCAGCCGACCCCUUUUUUUUUGCUGGAAAUAUUUGGAUAUUUAAGUAGAGUGCAAUAAAAUCAAUAGAUAUAAACAAGUGUGGAAAGAAAUGAACUCAUUACUCACAAACUUAUAUCCUUAUAUUUUUUUAAUCCUUAUGUACAUUUAUUGUAAGUUUGUUAAUAAUAAAAAUAAAAAUAGAUUUUUUUUCAUAAAAGAAUAUUAUUCUCCUCGUGAAUUGACCAUCAUCAAAUCACUAUUUAUUUUUUAAAAUCUCAAUUUAUUCUAUUUUUGUUAAGAAGCCAAAAAAAAAAAAUCAUCAACUUAUCUCCAUUUUUUCCUUAUCCUUUACACAAAAAAUAGGAUAAUUUCAUAUUUUAAAAAUAUAAGAGGGUAAUUUGAAGAGAGUCAAUUCAAGAGGGAAGUAGUUUAAAAUUUGUCCACUCUUAAAUUGAUUAAUUUCAAAUGGCCCAUUUAAUUUUGAAAAUCUCAAAUUAUUCCUCAUUCAAAAGAUUAAAAAACGGUACAUUGAUUUUUUUUUUUUAAUUUUCCUAACGAAACGUAAAGGUAAAUUAAAGUUUUUAAAAAUAAGGAGGUGAUUUGAAUUCAAAUCACGAGUCAGUAAUCUAAAAUUAACCCUUAGUAAAAAAAAAUGAAAAACAAAACAAGAUUUGGAAAAAUCAUGCGUCACGGAAAAUUAUUUAUUUAUUAUUGUCAAAUGGGCUUCUCCAACUUUAACGCUAUGACUUUUGAGCACAUAUUUUGCCUAUAGUCAGAGUCACUGGUUGUUGAUAGGGUCAUUUGGAAAGUAGUGGUUCCGUAAUCAUUUUUUCUUUUGUCUAAUUAAAGAAAAAUGAAGUGAGCAUUGUUUGAGCUUUUUUAAAGAGAAAUAUACAUAAAUAAUUGGUGUUAGCAGACAAGAUUACGUGAAGAGUUAUUGUACUUUUGUUUACAAGAUUAUGAUAGAGUUAUUGUAAUGUUGUUUCUUACGAACAUCAAGACUCAUUUUUUUUACUAUAAUACCCAUUCAAUAUAGUAAUUAGAAUAUUGAUUUUAAAUUUUUUUAAUUAAUAUAAAUAUAAUAUAUUCAGUGGACUAAUAAUAUUAAAUUAUUUUUAAAAUUUAAAAUAAUAUUAAAAUUUUAAAUUGCUAUAUUUAUUUUGAUAAUAUAUUUGUAUUUAUGCGUUAAAUAGAUUUUACGAUUAAUAAAAUAUCUCCCUGUUAAUAAUAGUAAAAUUAUUUUUUACAUAAUAUUCAAAAUAAUUUUAACUUUCAUUAAUUUCUUUUGAUAUUAUGCUUCUAUUUGUUAAAAAUUAUUUUAGUAUAAUAAAAUAUGCCUAAUAGAUUGUAUAAAUGCUAUAUUUCUAUCUAUUAUAAAUUUUCGGGUCAAUUUUUUGGUUUUAAAAAUGUAUUAUGGGCAAAAGGGGGUCUUGAUGUCUCUUAUUGAAAAUUUAGGGUUCUUUAUGACUAUUUCUCUAAAUGUUGGGGUGUUAGUGUGCUUUUUCCUAUGGGUGCAUUUGACACACUGUAUUGUAUUAUGUUGUAUUGCAUUAGCACUAUGUUAUAACAAUGCUGCAUAAUGUUUGGUGCUCCACUGUACUGUAUUAAUUUUUUUGUGAUUAAUUUAAAUUAUAUAUUCUAUUAUUAUUUAAUUAUUAUUAAUUUUAAAUUAAUAUUAUUCAAAUUUAAAUAUUUAUUAUAGUUAUAUUAAUGAUAACCGCUUAUAUAGACAACUUUUCAUAUUAUCUUUAAGUAUUCCUAUUUCAGCCCAUCAUAGAAAUAUAAAUUAUUUUUAAAUAUCUUUAUAUCAAAGGCCUAUACCUUAUUUGAUACAUGAAAACCUAUAUUAUUGAAAAUCUUAAUAGAUCACUUUUAAUUAGGUUUAACCUUAUAUGACAAUCCACAACACAUAAUUAUUCACAGAUAAGCCCAACAUUACAUUAAGGAUCCAACAAUGCUGGAUCAAAGAUUUAACAAUCUCUCACUUGAGCUAUAUGUGUAGCUUGAUAAUUAUGCUUUGCAAAAAUAACUGUAUGAGCUCAACCUUAUUGUCAUUACCAAAAUGUAUCUAUAACUAAUUCAGUGCAUCAAUCAUACCAACAUAGGAUCAAAGCGGCUUUUGUUACAAUUAUCGUAACUUGACCCAUCAAUGGUCACUAUGCCAAUACAACUAAAUGACAUUGAUCAUGCUGUGGAUGUGUAGCAUGAAAAUUUCAUAUAAUGUGAGCUUAACAUGCCUAUUUCCAACUAGUCCACCUUAACAUGAUGUGGAUAUAUAGUAUUGAAAUUUCAUGCAAUGUGAUCUUAACAUGCUUAUUUUCAACUAAUCUACCUUAAAAUUUAGUGAGAUCAAACAUACUAAAAGUUAAGGCGUGAAUAAAACAAAACUUUAUUUCUGCAAAAAAUAACCCAAAAUAUCCAUAAACUGAAAUAACUAAAAAAUGUCUACUUUAUAAGAGUAUCUAAAAUCACACACUUCUACUAAAAUUGAAUAUCCUUUAAUGACAUGACACUCAUACAAGCAGUGUGCUUAUGAAACAUCUUGCGUGGCAAUCCCUUAGUAAGCGGAUUCGCAAUUAUAGAGUUUGUGUGGAUGUGCUCUAUAGGCAAUUGUCCACUCUAAAUCCUUUCUUUAACAAUUAGGAACUUGAUGUCUAGACUUCGUCGAGUUCUUGUUGUUAUUGGAAUACAAUACUAUUGACUUAUUAUCAUAAAAUAACUUAAGUAGUCUAUCAAUAUACCAUUUACUAUGUGCAACCUCGUGAUAAAAUUCCACAGACAUAUUCUGUGAUUGCAUGCUUCGUAAUAUACUAUGAACUCUGCUGCCAUCAUAGAAGAUGUUAUAAGAGAAUAUUUAACACUAUUUCAAUAGACAACACCCUUAGCUAGUAGAUAAAUGUAGCCUGAUGUAGACUUUAUACUAUCUUGACAUCCAGCAAAAUCGGAGUCAGUAUAUCCAAUGAUCUCAAGCUAACACAACAUUUUAUACAUGAGCAUGUAUUCUUUUAUUCUCUGUAAGUAUCGCAAGACUUGUUUAGCUGCUUUCCAAUAGUAUACUUCUAGAUUACUUAAAUAUCAGCCCAACAUCUGAGUGACGUAUGCAAAUCAGAUCGCAUAGGAAACUAAGUAUACAUAAGAAUUUCUAUUACUAAUGCAUAAUGAAUCUUCUGCAUUUUCUGUCCUCAAAAUCAUUCUUAGGGUACUGAUUGAGACUAAACAUGUCUCCUCUACCACUAGGGGUAUCACUUGGUUUGCAAUUGCACAUACCAUAUCUCUUGAGACGGUUUCGAUAUACCUCUUUUGUGAUAAGAAUAUCCUGAGAGUGAUUCGGGUAUAUCUGUAUACCUAAUAAAAAAGAGGCAUCACUAAGAUCUUUCAUCUUAAAAUUCUUAACUAGAAAUCUCUUGACAUUAUGCAAUAAGCUUAUGUCGUUGCUAGCAAGCAAAAUGUCAUCAACACAUAAAACUAGAGAAAUAUACUUGCUCCUACAUAACUUAUAGUAUAUACAAUCAAUGACUAAAUUCAUCUCAAAACCAAAUGCGAUGAAACUUAAAAAUACCAUUCUAUUCUUUCUAUUCUUUCUGACAUCCCAUCAUUAGAAAUAGAGUAUAAGAAACUUAAAGAAUUCUCUAGGAGAAUAUGUCAAUCUGGAAGGUCAACCACACAACUCCAGAAGGCAAUUAAGAAUUAUGGAUUCAGGUACGCUUUCACAUAAUUUAUUAUUGAUUAUUGAUAAUAUAACAUAAAUGAUCCUGAUUUAUAGGUGAUGGUGUUCACCAAAGGUUUUAUUGUUAUAACAAUAUAUACUCAGCUUCUUAAAACUACAUUUAUUCAUAUUUCUUUAUCUUUUAUUAAUUAUUUUUAAUUUUUCACUUAUUGAUAAAUUCUAACUUUUUUUCAUUUUUGUUUAGGAAAUAGCUUUUGGAAAAGAUAACAAACUUGUUUAUUAGAUAAUUUAAAAUUCAAGAAAUAUUGCUUAUUUUUCAUUUUUCAUUUUUUGAAAAAAUAAUAAACUUGUUUAUUGGAUAAUUUAAAAUUCAAAAACUAUUGUUUAUUUUUCAUUUUGCAUUUUUGGUGUGAAUUUUCUAGUUGAAAUAGAGACUUUACAUCUGCUGCAAAGGCAAAGAAGUUGAUUACUUGCGCAGGGUUGGCAAAAUCCAAAUCCGCAUAUGGAUGUAAGUGCAUCUAGAUCCAAAUUCAUAUUUACAUAUCUAUAUCCGGAUCCGCAAAAAUUAAAAUUCAAUAAUUUCAUAUAUAAUUUAAAAGUUCAAUAAUUUACCUGGUAAUAUCAAAUAAAAUUCAAUCAUAAUUCAACAAUUAAUAAUUCAACAUGAAUAACAUAGAGCAACAUCAUAAUCUAUAAAUAAAAUUUAAUUUUUAAUAGAUAUUUUUAAUUUAUAAUAAAAUUCAAUAAUUUACCUAAUAAUAUCAAAUAAAAUUCAAUCGUAAUUCAAUAAUCAAUAAUUCAACAUGAAUAACAUACAACAACAUCGUAAAUCCACAAAUAAAAUUUAAUUUUUAAUUUUUAAUUUGAUUUUAAUAUAUAUUUAUUUAUUUUUUAAUUUAAAAUAAAAUUUAAUCGGAUUCGAAUAUCUGGUUUUUUGAAUGCAAGUGCAUUUGAAUCUGGAUUCGAAUCCUUGCGGAUCUCAACUUUCCAUAUCUGGAUCCGGAUUUUUUAAUAUGCGGAUCCGGAUUUUAUUGCCAUCCCUUGGCGCAAGUAAACAAUCUACAUAUUUAUUCUUUGUAUUUUGAAUGAAAGCUCUAUUGUGCCCUAAAACGCCAAGUACCAAAUUAUUACUAAGAAUUUCAAUCAAUCAAGAAAGAAGUGAAUCAUGUUCUGUUUGCAUAAAAAAAUCACAGCGAAAAAAAAAAUGCUUGAUCAAAUGGAACUAUAUUUACAUUAGAGCUGGUAAAAUAGGUUACCGACUCAUGUUCAGUGCACUUGGACUUGGAACUUUAAAUACUUAUCCUGUACUAAGCCAUAUUUCUCUUUUCUUCUUGCAGCAUGGGUUUUUUAAAGAAUCCUGAAGCAUUUCUUCGGGUUUUACAAACUGUUCUACACACCACAACUUAUAGAUUUGUCCUUUUCACAGCUGGAUACGAACCUUUAGACACAGCUAUCCGAGUGAUGGCUCCUGGAACAUCUUCAAUUUUAACUCAAAGAGUAAUCACUCAGUAUGGGAUCUCUAUCUUUGAUGGCAAGCUCUUCUGCUUUUCUGGGUCAGUAUAUCUUAAAUUCUUAUUGAAUUUGAGCUAAGAUAACUGAAGAAUAAAGAUGAAAACUUAUUCACUUGUGAAGCAACAAAAAUAGAGCUGUACGAUAUACAUUGUGAGUUUUUCUUUUCAUGACAUAAAUGUGCAGGCCCUAGUGUUGGUUAGAUAAUCUGACCAGUGAAGAUUUAGCUAUCUGAAACAUGAUCACAAGCUAUCACUUAUAGCGAAAUCUUUUCUGGUGUCAAUGACAUUCCUUGCUGAUUUAAGCAACAUUUCUUGCGAUUAACUCACAAAAAGUGAAUUAACAAUUACUUUUGAUUUAACCCAGUUUCUACUCUGUUGUUAUAGAACUGGUUUUGGAAACGUGGAUGUCUAUGUAUGAGACUCGUGGAAACUUGGGACCUUGGUGCCCUCUUUGUGAAAUUAUGAUAGCAAUGCUCCCUUAGUAUUUUUUUUUUUUUAAACUUCCAUUAGGACUUCUCCAAAUGGAGCUUUGUAAGGCAUGCAAUCUUAAAUGAACUAGUGUCUUCAAAUAAAUCAACUAAUACUCAUGGAGGAAGGUGAGAGGAAGGUAAGAGCUUUCUAUUUUGUGAUUCCUUUUGAUAUAAAUUAGAAGUGCAAAACACGACAAAGCUAAUUUACAUGUUUGCAUUACGUUGUUCAAUUUCAAACCAGUGGAUCUACUGCAGCAGCACUACUACAUGCAGGAAUCCGUCAGGUUGAUUUCUAAACACUUUGUUGCUUUAUGUACAAUUUUCUUCUAAUAUAUUUUUAGUACUGUUGAGAAAUCUUUGGGUGCAAAGGCAGCCAUUCAUACCUAACCUUUGUAAUUGAAGCACCUAUAUAAUUCAACAAGCUCAUGCAUUUUUUAUGGUGAUAGGAAUUCUUCUGCCAAUAUAAUUAACUGCAAACCCAUUUUUUCUCCUUUUUUCCCCCUUUAAAUCUAAUUUUCAGAAGGAGUAACUUUAAAUGAAUAUACUCCAGAAAGUUCUGAAAAUAUCACUUUUUUCCGGAUAUGUGUAGAAGGAAAUGAGCUUGUUAAUUGUUGAUUAAUUUAAUUUGGAAAUAAGAUACGUACUGUGUUGUAUCCAUACAUAAUUUUACUGUAUUGGUUGAAAUGCUAAAGUGCGAUCAUCUUUGUUGCCCUAAUGCUGGUGACACUCUUUCUGUUUGAUGUCAGUUUUUUGAUUGAAUUUCAAGAGUGGUUUCUUGAUAUUGUCUUCAACAGAGAUUCCUUUUCCCUAAUGUUACCUUUUGUUGACGCCUUGUUUGCUUUACUAUGUAUUUGUUGUAAGAAUCUAGGGAUAAAUUUCUCCUUUGAUCACUUUUGCUGUCAAGUAAGGGCAUAUAUAUAUAUAAUUGCUUUCCGUGACAAUCCCACCAACAGUGAUUACAUCUAGAACAGGCAGGGUGGUAAAUGAAUAUUUAUUGUAACUUUCUGGACUUCAUUGAGCUUGUUGAGUCAAAACAUGGUAUAAAUGGUCUUUCCCAGAAUAUUAGUUCAUUUGUGUUACCUUUAUUUCUUUAGUUUUAUUUUUGUGAUAGUACUUGUAUGCUAUAAUUUUGACUUAUUUAUUCGUCUCCUUUGUGGAUUUUGGAUGUCAGAUACUAUGUCCAUUUAUGCUGGACCAGUUCUACUGGGCCGAGAGGAUGUUUUGACUUGGAGUUGCUCCAGAACCACUAAAAAGAAAUUACUUGGUUCCAGAUAAUGUGGAUGACACUAGCAUUAAAGAAGCUGCAGAAGCACUAUCACAAGCCAUUCAGUAUGCACUAUCUCCUAGAGUCAAAGAAUGUGAAAAAGAGAUUGCUGAAAGAAUCUCUGUUGAGGUAAAUGCAUAUUAAAGUUCUUUCUUCGUUCCCAGCUUUAUCAAUGCUAUGGCUUGUUGCCGCAUUAAGUAUCAUUCCUUUUCGUAUCUCAUAUCUGUGUUAAAUUGGAUUUUCUUUCGAUUAAAUUAUCUUUUUAUACGAUUUAAUUGUCGACUAGCUGCUAGGAAUUCGAAUCUUAUUCACUUAUCAAAUAUGUCAGUUACUGAGUUUGAGUUGAAUUAUAGUAGUUUCCAUAUCUCUUUUGUUCAAGUUCUUGUUUUUAUUUAUUUAAUGAAUUCGUUGAAGCCAUUGCUGUCGGAAUUACUGUAGCCUGCAUCUUGUAAAUUUUUAGGUUUACUAUUUGUUCUGUGAGCUCCAUUACUGAAAAUAAAUUUCACAAACUUAUGCUUCUUUCAGGAUGGAGUUAGUGAAGCUGUUAAGAAUCUCAAGGAAGAGAUGGGGUUGUUCUAGUUAAGCUAACUUUGAAGAGAUGAGAUGUCCUAAUCCGUCUUUUUGUUAUUUGGUUUAGCCCAAUUAUGAAAAUUCGUAUUUAUUUAUUUAUUUUUUAGUAGUAUCAUUAUUCUUGCAUUUAAAAAUGCUAAUACAAAGGAAGUUAAAAGUCAAGGUAAUGUUUAACAGAAAUUUUAUAGAUCGUUCUUUAAAGUAAUAACAGAAAUUUUAUAUAUCGAUUUUGAAAGUAAUGUCACACUUGCCAAGCAAUAUUUCUGGAGAAAGAGGAAUUAAAAUACCAAACAAAAAUGAAUUGGAAUCGAGUUUCCGGUCCUUUUUUUGCCAAGUGAUAUUCCUUCCUGAACCUACUUCAGUACAUCUAGUUUACUACCAUACGUCAUUUCUCCCAGAAUUCACAAUGCAAGGACAAGGCUGGUUGGUUUCCCUCAGCUUACAUAGAAAGACAGGAGAGAGCACCAGCUAGCAAGAUAUCGGAAGCUAACUCAUCACCGAAAUGUGAUUCCACUUCUUAAUAAACUCAUGCCAAGUAUGUGUAUCUUCUUUUUUCUUGUGUUAUGUUGCUAUUUCGUAAAUAGAACUGUUAGCACAACAAUCAAUUACAUAAGUGGUUAGUUUGAUUGCUCCAAUUAAUGAACUCUUCUUUACCAGUAGCUGCAGCAAUUGCAAUCUUAGUUAAUGCUUAGCUGCUGCGGCAAUUGCUCCAAGUUUUGUGUGUGAUUACAUGCAUUGUGAAUUGGCAGAAGAAGUAACAUGAGACCAAAAAUUUUAAACAUAGGUACAAAAAUACAUAGGGGAAGUCAAUGGAAAUCCGUUGGCAGAGGAGGUUAAGGGUCCAUUUGGGAUUGAGAUGCUGUAACUUUUAAGUUACAGCUGCUGUGGAAAAAAAACUGUAACUAUGAAACAAAAGUUAAUAAUAUGUAGUAAAUAUAAAUUUUAAAUAAUAAUUUUGACAAAAUUAUUAAAAAUAUAAUAGAUUUUUUAUGAUACAAGUAAAAAAUCACAUCAACAUAACUUUCAAGUUACAGCAGCUAGUGUUUACCAAAUACUUUAAUGCUAUAAUUUUUAAAUUACAACUGUCCAACCUCAAUUUUAAAUGGAGCAGUCCAACCUCAAUCCCAAACGCAUCCUGAACCCAGGCAUAUUGCUCUAAUCUACCACCAUAAAAUUCUGAUAUCUGGGGGCAUUCUUCCUCCCAGCAGUCAUAGCAAUGGAUUGUAUUCCUGGAAUCGCUUGCAUAAUCUUCAUCUUCCACUUGAAGUAGUAAUGAUGUACAAUGACGGUGACCCAAGAACAAUGAUUUGUCCUUUAAUGAACCACUAUUAUUAUCAAAUUUACACCACUUCAUCUCUGAUAGAUCAAACCUAUGAAGAAUAUGGGUCCUGGAAUAGUACUCUAGACUGUGCUAUUAAUAAACUAUUGUUGCUGUCACAGCCUGAUCCUGAGUCAAUUAGAUAAUCAGAAUAAAUGAAAUGUUCAUAACCGAUAUGAGGAUAUGGAAGAAUUUUCCACUGUUUGAGGGCAACGUUGAAAGCUGCGAUCACAUAAACAUCUGAAGAACAGUACACAAGUCCUUGCAGGUAUAGCAUUCGUCCACAAAUAACAUCUCCAUUUGGCAACAAAGGGUAUCCUCUCUCAGUUGUUUUUUCAAAUUCCUCAAUAUCAAACAACUAUUCGAUCCAAUCACAGUCAUCAUCAUCUGGAAACAUGGUAAAUGUCUCUUUAUUAGUCUCCUCCAUCCUCUCCAUCCUCAAAUUAGCCAGUGGGAUAAUUUCGUCGGUGAAAGAGUGUAUAAGAAGAGUGAAUUAGUAUUAUUCCAUAUAGAAUGUGGAUGUGGUUGUAACAAUUAUCCAACCGUUCUUGCAGCAAGAGCCCUUGUUCUCUUAUUCUCAAACAGCCCUUUAGUACUGGGCCUAACGGUGUACUCACGUUUGUGAAAGGGGUCGUAGAGAAAAAGACAUUAAUUGUGUUUAUGUGAAUGGUCAUUGAUGCCCAGCAUCCAUCAAUUGAUCAGCAUAUUUAAUAAACCCUUUAUUCUAUUUGACUGCUUUGCGCCAAUUCUUGCACACUGCUCGAAAAUUCAUUCUAGAUUUGCAUGAUAAUUUGUCUUAGAAUCAAAAAAUUUUUAGAAUCCCAAUUCACCCCCCCUCUUGGGUUGCAUACUUGUAUUUCAUAUCAUACUAUGCAAUCCUUACUCUCUGUAUCAGCUUCAUCAAAACAUAUUCUAACAUCCCCCUUCAAAUUAAAAAGUCCAGGACGAACUUUUAGCUUGCUUCUAAGAUAAUAAAACUGAUUAUAAGUGAGAGCCUUUGUAAAAAUGUCUGAUGUGUGAUCUGCACUUGGAACAAAGCAAAUACUGAUUUGUUUAGCUAAAACCUUCUCUCUAAUGAAAUGAAUAUCCAGUUCAACAUGUUUAGUUUUAGCAUGGUAAACUGGAUUGUUAGCUAAGGCAAUGACCCUUUGAUUAUCACACCACAUUAUAAGUAUGUCAACUGACUUGAGCUUCAUUUAAGAAAGUAGAGCUUGCAUCCAUAUUACCUCUGCUGUUGCCAAAGCAAGACCUCUGUAUUCAGACUCUGUACUUGAUCUAGAAAUAAUAGAAUGUUUUUUAGAAGACCAAGAUACCAGAUUGGAACCCAGAUACAUAGCAUACCCAGCUACUGAUUUUCUAUCAUCCCUAUCACAUGCCCACUCAGCAUCAGUAAAACAGUUAAGUUGUAGGCAACCAGUGUGAGAAAAAGCCAAUCCAAAAUGAAGAGUCCCUUUGAGAUAUCUCAACAAACGUUUACAAGCUUGCCAAUGUUCAUCAGUAGGAUUGGAAAGAAAUUAACUCAAUUUAUUUACUGAGAAAACAAUUUCAGGCCUAGUAAGAGUAACAUAUUGCAAUGCUCCAAUUAUGCUUCUGUACUGAGAAUCAUUGUCAAUAGGAGUGCCUGAAUUUUUGGUAAGAGAAUGUGAAGUAGCCAUUGGUGUGGCACAAGGACUGCUUUUAUCCAUAUUUUGCUUGACUAAAAGAUCUGCUAUGUAUUUGGCUUGACAAAGAUGUAUUCCAUCUGUUGUUUUAGUAACCUGUAUCCCCAAAAAAUAGCUAAGGUCCCCCAAAUCUUUAAGAGCAAAUGUACUCUGCAUAUCAGAUAUAACUGAAAGCACCGUGGACGGAUUUGAGCCAGUAAUGAUAAUAUCAUCAACAUAAACCAAAACCAACAAGAUAUGGCCAAGAUGCCAUUUGAAAAACAAAGAAGAAUCUGACUUGGAAUUUGUGAAUUGCCAUUGUUGAACCAUGGCACAUUUAAAUCUAUCAAACCAAGCUCUAGGAGCUUGCUUUAAACCAUAGAGAGCCUUCUUAAGCUUACAUACAUGAUGAGGCUUUGAGGGAUCAAUAAAGCAUGUAGGCUGUGUUAUAUACACAUCUUCUUCAAGAUAGCCAUUAAGGAAUGCAUUAUUAACAUUAACCUGUCUAAUAACCCAUUUAUACAUUAUAGCUAUGCUAAAAACAAUCAUGAUAGUAGAGGCUUUAAUAACUGGACUAAAGGUUUCAUUAUAAUCAACCCAUUGAGUUUGAGAAAAGCCUUUUGCAACAAGCCUAACCUUAUAUCUAGAUAUGGAUCCAUCUGGAUUUUACUUGAUUCUGAAUACCCAUUUAUUGCCUAUAACUUUGACUGGUGUAGAAGGUUGAACUAAAGACCAAGUUUGAUUGGCCUGCAAUGAGUUAAAUUCUUUUUUCAUGGCAUUAAACCAUUUAGGAUAUGCUAAUGCUUGAGCCACAACGGCUAGUUCUGUAGGUUCAGCAAGUAAUGCUGCUAAAAAAGUCUUAGGCUUAAAGAUUUUAGCCUUAGGCCUGGUUAUCAUUAGAUGACCAGAAGGUUGAGGAGGAGAAAAAUGACGAGACUGCGAAGAUUGAGAAGGUGCAGAUUAAGUAUUAUAAGCUAUUACAUAUGAAUAUAUCAUGUUGCCUUAGUAACCAGUAGUUUUAUAAUCAUAUCCUCUACCAUUAAACUGACUAUUAAAUCCUCUACCAUUGCUAGGAAAUGGUCUAGGUCCAAAACCUCUACCAUUUUGUCCAUAAGUUAGUUUAAACCCUCCUCUGCCAUAAUACUUUUGAGGUACAAAACCAAGAUUGAACCUAUUCUUGCAUUUGUUUGCUCUAUGUCCAGGUAUGAAGCAGAUUUGGCAGAUGAUUGAGUCAAAAUUAUUAUUAUUUUGAGCUGAUCCUGGAUUAUUAAAUGUAUUGCCAUCAAAUCCACCAAAACUCUUAUUACCUUUUUGAAAUCCAAAAUUAUUUCUGCCAAAUCCUUGAUUCUUCUGAACAAGAUUUGCAGAGGAUUAUGCAUUACAUCAGUGCUAAGCUUAUUUUUCUUCUGUUCAAUUCUCAUUUAAUGACUCAGUAAUAAGGCAUACAAAUCAUCUAGACUUAAGCUUUCACCUCUAGCUAAUAGGCUUAUAACUAGAGAUUCAUAUUCUUGAGAUUCUAGUCUAGUUAAGAUGUAAUUAACAAGAUCACCAUUCUCAAUAGGCUUACUAGCUAUGGCAAGAGUAUCAGCUAACCUUUUCAUUUUUGCAAAAUAUGCACUCAUUGUCAUUGAUCCUUUCUUAGCUGUCUGUAGUUGCAUCUUCAUAGGCAUGACACGAGCUUGUGUUUGAGAAACAAACAUGCGAUUAAGAGACUCCCACAGUUAUUGAGAGGAAACACAAUGAAUCACUAAAGAGAGCAAAUUCUCUUGAAUUGAAGACAUCAUCCAACUGAGGAGAAGUUGAUCAGUUCUGAUCCAUGCAGAGAACUCAGGAUUAUCAACUCUUGAUCCAGAUCCAGAGCUUGAGGAGCUCGCAGCAGCUUCAUCUUGAACAAUAUACUGAUCUGGACACUUUUUGUACCAGUGAUAAAACCUUCUAAGCCAUUGCAUUUGAUAGAAGUAAGAACUUGAGUUCUCCAAACAAUAAAAUUGUUUUGAUAAAGUUUUAUUGAAGUGACAAAGUUAUAAGUAUUGCUCUUUAGAUUUGAGCUGGUAAUUGGCUCUGAUACCAUGUUUGAAAUGAGCUGAGAAAGUGUUUGUGUAAUACCCCACACCCAAUUAUUUUUUAACCCUUCACCUAUAUAUAAUUGAGCGCGAUUAAACGCUCGGAUAGUCGGAUUUUAUGUUCGUCUCGGGUCCGGUAUUAGCUUAAUUUGUAUUAAGCUUAAGUGAAAAACAAAAAAAAAAAAAAAGAAUUUGAGUUCCAUAUAAAAUGAGGAAGCUGGUUUUCAAAAUGAGAAAGAGAGAAGAGACGAGAGAGAGAGGAGGAGAGUUGACCCGGUUGACCCGCAAACCCGACCCGGAAACCCGCGACUUGACCCGGACGGAUCUCCCAAUUCCGGCCACCUCACCGGCCGUGCUUGGUACCGAUCUGAAGCUUGGAAGCCGACCGACCUAUCCCCGCUGUCCUAGUCGCCGGGAACUGACCAGAACGCCGGCGAUUUGAGCUCGAAACUCGCGGCCAAGGCUCGUUUUUGCCGCCGUCGAUUUCGCCGGAGUUUGGGCACACUUCCAGCUGGGUUCUACUCCUCACGUCACCAGCAUCAUUUUCUGACCAACCUCGUCACCUGAAACGGCCGGAUUGCCGGCGAUCAACCACUUGGGAAGCUCGCGGUCUUGGAAGCUCGAUUUGCCGCCGUUGCCGCGCGUGGGAGGUCACCGCCGGCACCAUUGGACUCAGCGUGGCUUUAACUUUCAGUUCUGAGCUUCCCGUCGCCGUCGAAUGAAUUCCGGUGACCGUUGACCGGCAAGGGUAUUUAGGUAAUUUCACAGUCUAGGGGCAAAUUUGUAAUUUUCGUUUUGUGGGUAUUUUAGUAAUUGCUGUAAUUGAGGAUAAAGUUGGUAAUUUAUGAUUUUGAGGUUAAUUUGGUAAUUUUGGUAUGAGGGUAUUUUGGUAAUAUUGAAUUCAAGGAUAAUUCGGUAAAUUCAUAAACUUGAGGGUGAAAUUGUAAUUUGUGGAAUCAGUGGAUAAAUUGGAAAUUUUAAGUUAGGCAGUGAGGUAAUUUGAGAUUACGAGGGUAAUUUGGUAAUUUAAGUUAUUAAGGAUAUUUUGGUAAUUUACGCUCUGAGGGUAAUUUCGUAAUUUCUGACAUUGUGGUUAUUUUCGUGUUCUGAAUUGAGGACAAUUUAGUAAUUGAAGAUUCUGAGGAUAAUUUGGUAAAAUAAUGAUGUUGGGGGCAUUUUGGUAAUUUUGGCAUGUAGGGGUAUUUCAGUAAUUUUGUGCAUGCGGGAAUAGUUUAUUGUUGAUAGAUAUUCAUUUCGAGAAUUAUUAUGUAAGAUUAGUUGUAUUUCAAAUUUACGGAAAACGAUUAUGGCGUUUCCUUGAUUAGGAGGAUUCACGAACGAGAAUCAACCCGCGGACGUUGUCGACACCGAGUCUGGACAUUGUCACUGUGAGUGGAAUAUACGAAACCUAUUUUUAGAGUUAAUUAUGAUAGUAAAGCAUGUUUGCGGAAUAAGUAUUUUAAAUGUUCCGAUUUAAUGAUUUCUUGAAAUGGAUUUAAUGUGAUUUCCUCGAAAUGGAUUUUAUUCACGUGUUGAUAUUAUAUUAAACUAUUUGGUUAAUGAUUUUGCAUAUCGAUUUUGAAUAAAGAGUGAUAUUAUUUGAAAGCUAAGAAAAGUGGAUUCAAAUGUGGUAUGAUUUAAAAUAUGGUAAAGAGGUAUGUGAAUAUGAGUACAGUGAUUGUUUUUGAAAUCAUUAGACAGUACCCUUCCCCUCCAGAUACAGUGAUAUAAAUGAUAUGAGAUGAGAGGCCUUUGGAGCCCGUUUGAACACACAUAGAGGCUUUGGGCCGUGUGUUUGGGCGCUUUUGCCUUUGGGGCAUAUGCAUGCGGUAUGAUUAUUACAGUGAUACAUAUAUUGAGAUACAAUGAUACAGAUAUGGGCUACAGACAGUUAUUGAGAUAUAGUGAUACAGAUAUGGGAUACAGACAGUUAUUGAGAUACAGUGAUACAGAUAUGGGAUACAUAUCAGUUAUUGAGAUACAGUGAUACAGAUUGGGAUACAGAUCCGUUAUUAAGAUACAGUGAUACAGCUAUGAGAUACAGACAGUUGAGAUACAGAUGAGAUACAGGCCUUUGGGGCCCGUCUGAGUACACACAGAGGCUUUGGGCCGUGUGCUUGGGCGCUUUUGUCCUUUGGGGACUAGAUUAUGCAUGCACAGAUAUGAUGAGAUAUGAGAUAGUAUUUCCCUGUCUAUCCGUGUAGCUCCGGGGCGUGACGUUACCCAGAUAGUACGUCAUUGCCCGUCCGUUGAGGUCCGGAUAUGACGAGAUUAUUUCCCUGGGUACUUGUUUGAUGAUAGUUUUGGUAUUCAGUAUUUGAUAUGAUAAGUAUUAUGUUUCCAUCGAUUUUAUGCAGAUUUAUGUAAUAUAGUAUUUUAGUGACUGAUUUGAAUUAAAUAAGUUUAUGUAAGUUCUUAUGAUAUUCUGAUGAAAUUGAUUUGAGAAAGAUUAAAUCAUUUUAAAAGAAUUGAUUUUUCAAAAUUUCUAUCCACUCACUGAGUUCACUGAGUUUUAUACUCAUCCUAUUUUAUUUAUAUUUUCCCCCCACAGGAGAUUUGCAGGUACAUCAGUCGACCCAGUAUUGAAUGUUAGUUUUGAAAUUGUGGCCACGUGAUGGUGCUAGGAGUCGUGGAUUUAAUACUGUGAUUUUUGGGAUAUUGCAUUUGUAUUUAUUUAUUAUAUUUUGUAAUUAAGGAUAACCAUUGUAUUUUAUUAUUAGAGUGACUUGGGUGGUAUUUGGUAUGUUGACUUGAGAAGUUGGUUAUGGAGGAUGGAUGGAUAUUGAAUUAUUUUGGGAGUAUUGUUUUGUAAAUUGCAGGUAUUUUGGGAGUAUUGUUUUGUUUGGGAGUAUUGUUUUGUAAAUUGCAGGUUGGGAAUGUUUUAUUUAUAAGGGAGAUUCUGCCGAAAUUUUUAUAGAAUUCUUAGAUAUCGUAAAUAGUAUCGAUUCGAUUUUCGACCUCUUAACUCGCGAUUUUGUUGAGGAAGAUAUUAAGGACAUACAUGUAUGAGUGUGUAUUGGGCGAGAUACAUGCUCUCUCUGAUCACGAAACCAGUUUUGAGCAACAUGUAAACUAGCAAUUUCAUUGCUUUUUUUUUUGGACAGUCAAGGGCAGAUUCUUAACAUCUGUAGCUUCAGGAUCCACCACAAGUAUGUGGUUAGUCAUUUUAUAUCUUCUGUCUGGUCAGGGCUGAGAGCAUGUAAGGUUACAAAGUGCCACGACACUUGCAAAGUUUGAAUUUUGUUAUUUUGUUAGAGUUUUCAAAUAAAAUAUGAUAAGUUAAAUACAAAAAAUCUAAUUUGAUCCUUGAACAUUUUAUUUAUAACUGCUGUACGGCCAAGGCGGAUGUACGGUACAGCAGAUGGAUGACUCAUCAGAUAAGUUUCAAAGUCUGGCAACUUUUUGUUGUAAAAUUACUUUUUAUUAUUCAGGUCAUAUGUUUUCCUUCUAUAAUGCAUCUUUUUCAUUAGCUGGAAGUGCAAAGUUUUUAUGCUCUUUCUGUAUGACCACUUUUUCUUCACUAAAUAGAUAAAAUGGCAUUUAGUUUUUCGUUUGUGAGGCUACUAGGUUUAUGUUCAAACUUUCUGUUAGUUAAAUUGAUUGUCUUUGAUAUCUAGCACUUCUAGUUGUACUAAUUUGUACUUCUGAGUAUAUGGGAUUGCCGACUGUAAUGGGAAUUGAUGCCAAAUUAAUUAUGCAUCAAGUUUUUCAGCGUGUUCAUCUUUUAUUUCUGUUAACAUUUUGGCUUUGGACAUGCUGGAUUGUUUUUGGUUUCAGUGAUACAAAACAUCUAACUAAUUGUCCAAAGUUCUUCAUUCCUUGUGACAUAGCAUUCAAUUGAAUGGUGACUCAUGAAUCAUGAUUGUGUGUUUUGGUAUUUGUAUAAUUGUAUACUAUGUAUUGGCAAGACAAAGUUUGUUGAAACUGAGAAACAUUUUUCCGCCUUCCAUUCUUGUUUCAUAUUCUUAUGCUAACAAAUCUUGAUCAUGAUGAGUCUCCUCUUUUCUUUACAACCCACAAAUAAAGUCCUGGCCAUAAGCCUCAAGGCCUAUUGGCUAUUGCAGCGGUGAGUUCACUCUCAGGAAUCAGAUCUUUCAAAUUCGAGGAAAUUUGAAAAAAUUGCAAAUGUCUACAAAGCAAAUGGUCUAAAGGUCCUUUUUGUUAUCACUCACACAACAUUACUCAAGAGUAUCUAUAGGUCAGACUAGUAGAUAUUUUGGUUAGACUUUGGACCUCAGUAAGUGAUAACUCUAUGAAAUGAGAGUUAUCAUGACAUUUUUAGACUUAAAUCAAUAUUAUUUAGAGAGUAAAUGACAUAUUUUUAUUGCAUUUUAAUUAUAUUUUGGAUUAAAUCAAUAUUAUUUAGAGAGUAAAUGAUAAUACUUAUUUCUAUUAAUUAAUGCAGCUAACCACUCAUUUAAUAAUACUAGCUAGGAAAGAGUCACAAAAUGGUCUAUCUUAGUGGAACAUAUUAGAACAAUACGUGGUUUUAGAUUGGUUUCCUGAGUUAAGUUUUACUUGAUUCUAAAAGGGUCAUGCUAAAUUUAAAAUUAGUGAUGAAUUAGACAUAGAGAUUCACCUUGUAGGGUAAUUAGAACCUAAGCGUGUAAUGUUAUAUCUUAUGUUAGCAUAACAAUUGGUCACUGUUAGGUUGCAAAAGAUAUAAGACAUCUAACAUGCGACAACUGAGGAUACAUAAGGAUUCUGCCUAAUGUUGUAGGAGAUGCUGUAGCAACUGAACCAAAUAUUAGAAAAAUAGUUAAAACCAUUAUGUGAGUUUAAUCAUUCAACUACUCCAUUCCCAUUGGUUUUAUCCUUAUGUGUGAUGUGAGAAUUUACUUUAUUGCAUUUUAUUUUAAUUAAUUAAGGUAUUAGUUUUAUUAUUUGUUUUAUUUUCAAUUAAAGCAAAAUUGCAUUGUUAAGAUUGCUGUAGCAAAUCUAAUAACAUCAAUCCUUGUGGAAAUGAUCUCGACUACUUAUCAUUAUAUUACUUGUUAUGUACACUUACAUAUUGGCAUCAAUAACAUUUCAAUUCACUACAACAGUAAGGCUAAAUGAUGGUCUCGAUCUCAAUAAGACUGGAUCAUUCUUGUUCACUUUGGACCUCAAAAAGGCCAAAACAACUUUAAUAGGCCAAACCUUAAUAAGGCUAGUGGAACAAAAUUAAUUGGACCUCAAUAAGUUUAAAAUGGAGUCUAGAAAAUUGCCAAAAUCAAUCUUAAUAAGAUUGGAUCAAAUAAUUAAAUGAAGUUAUCAAAUAAUUAAAUUAGGUUGGACCUCAAUAAUAUCAAAAUUGAUGACCUUGAUCUUAAUAAGAUCAUAUCAUAAUUGUUAACUUUGGACCUCAAUAAAGCCAAAACAAUUAUAAUAAGCUAGAUAUCGAUAAGGCUAGUAGAACAAAAUCAAUUAGACCUCAAUAAGGCCAAGAUGGUAACUUCAAUCUCAAUAAGAUUAGAUCAUGCAAUUUAUUCCCAUUGGACCUCAACAAAGCCAAAAUGAUGACCUCGAUCUCAAUAAGAUCGGGCAUUUAGUUUAUUCACAUCGGACCUCAAAAAGUCUAGAAUGAUGGCCUCUAUCUCAAUAAGAUCGGAUCAUAUAAUUUAUUCAUGUUAGAACUCAACAAAGCUAAAAUGAUGAUCUUAGUCUUAAUAGGAUCGGGCAAACAAUUUAUUCAUGUUGGACCUUAACAAGACCAAGACAGACGACUUCAAUUUUAGUAAGAUCAGAUCAAAUGAGUAGAUAAGUUAAGAAGCAUUGGAAAUGCACUUUUGAAUAACUUUAUUGAUAUUGAAAUAAAUUAUAAGAACUAAACAUGAACUAAAUUGAAAUAAAAAAGGUAAGAAAUAAAGUCUUCUAACAUGGUUAAAAAGGAAACAAAAAUAAGAACAUUAGUGCUAGGGUCGACCUACUGAUAGUAGUUUCACAGAUGCUUUAUGUGCUAUGCCUUUCUAACCUUGGCAUGAGUGACCUCAUACCUUUCUUAGUUGAGCAGUCUCCUCUUUUGCUUCACAAGCUUUUGUUCGUUGUAUAUAGCCAACCAAUGGCAUAUACUAUAAGGAUCUAUUCCUUAUAUAUCCUUAUGACUCUAUGCAAAUAUAUUGUUGUACUAAAAAAAUAAGUUCAGAAAUGAUUGAAAAUUUCACGAAUUUUGUCCCUUUUUACUACUCUUCUCGGCUUGUCCUUACUUAUUGGCACUUAUUUGAUUUCUUUAUUAAGUCACUGCUAUCAUAAUCUAUUCUCAACUCGACGCUCGUGAUUUCCAUAUAUUGUUUUGUGGUCAUAGUGUAAUAGCUUUAAACCACUUGUUCAUAACCCCUUAUUACUCCGAUCCCACCUUGGUCCAUAAAUCUCACGCAUUGAUAAAGGCUAGGCUCAUCACCAACCACCCUAUCACAUUCACUAUUUUUUUGUAGUGAGUUGGACCCUAUAGUCAAUUAUAGAUCAAUUACACUGAUGGUAGUCAGCUUAGGUCCUCCAAAUUCUCUUGAUGAUGUGUUGAUAGGAUCAAGCCUGACAUUACCUAUUUGUAGACCGUCCAAAAAAAAAAUGUUAGCUGAGCUAUAUGUAGAAAGCCUAAUUCAACUCCUACCCUGACAAGGUAACUUUCACCGAAAGCGUAUCUUUAUGUGGGUGGGUGAACACUUCCUCAUCUUCGUUUGUGAACAUAAUCGGUACUCUUUGAACUCAUUGCUUCUUUGGUAUCGGAACAUUAAAAUUCACAUCAUAACGUUUCAGGGAGUAUCAACUAUAAUUCCACCUCGAACAAUUCAAGUCCCUUGCUAGGUCUGCCACUCCAUAAUCAUCAUUACCACAUUGUCUUUGUUGUCCCCUCUAGUCCCAUCUCUUCUUUCGUGUUCACAUUUCCUUUAGAUAUUGGUUUUACAUAAGCCAUUCAAUCUCUUUUUUCAAGUCUAUGCAAUCUGUAAGUCCAUACUCGGACGCAGAUCUCUCAUAAUUGGUUUUGGCAGACUUAAUAGCCCUUAUUUGUAGUCACAAUAAAUAUUUUUGCUUUGCUCUUGUUUAGAGGUGUAAAUCUCCCACUCUUCUCUAUUAAGUUCACCCUAUAUAUAAUCUUGAUCCUCUCCAAACUAUAGGAGACACAUCUUAUUAUUCUUACUCAGUUCUCCCAUUGGCUUUUCCUAUAGUCAUUUACUCUUUCUUGGCCUCGCCUAUUAGUGGGACUUCCUCUCUUCAAGAUUUUUUUUUUCCCAAUCACGAACUGGCUUGAUGUAGGGUGUUGUGUAUAGCGAAUAGUAUACCUUCCGGAGGCCAUAACUUGGGCUACAAAUGUUUGUUUUCAGUAUCUAAUGUAUCGUUUUGAAGCUUGUAACAAGAUGAAAAAAACUCUGUAUAAGCCAUUUUGCCCCAUGGUUGAACAAAAAAUUAUGUUUCUUUCCUAGUCAUUUUCUAGUUUUAAGAUUUUUUCUUUUUUUUUCCUGAUUCUUCUAAGAUUUUUAUCUUUUUCUAGAACUCGGACUUUAGUGCCAUUUGUUCUCGUUUUCUUAUUUUAGUUAGGAGAAUUUAAUUAUCAUAUUAGAUUUUGGAUUUGCUUAUUUUGGUAAAUUCGCAAUAUUUGAACUUGUUACAAAAGGGGUUCAAAACUCUAGUUUUAUUCAUUCAGACUUUUCAAUAAAGCUUACCAUUAUUCAGAAACCUUUGUUUCUUCUGUCAAACUUCAUUCAAUGUUUUUGUUUUGUCAUGGCCUCUCUAGUCAUCUGUCAUUAACCAAGCCUUUGUCAUAAUGACGCCUAUUAUCUGAGUUCCUUCUCGAGCUGUAACUAAGGUUAUCUCAUCCUCUUCUUAGUUCUUUUCACACCGGACAUAUCCUCUAUUUUUCCAUUCUCUUUUUUUUCUUGUUCUACACAUUUAGUUUUUUACAUCCAUUUUGCCUGAUCAUACACCUUAGCAUAUGUUGCAAUCCUCUUACUAUACAAACCAUUCUACAACCAAUUGAUUCUCAAUCCCUUCUUUAAUCCUUGCAUAUCUUGCUCACGUAUGCAUAAACCUCUGAAAUUCACGACUAAGAGGUCACACAAUUCUUUGAAAUUUCCUAUGCUUCCCCUUUCUUAGUCUUCAAUAAAAUUCUCGCGCCUACCUUUCUAGAGUAAAGCAAAAAACCCGGCACUUCUAUAGAUCAUUCAAGCCUUUGAUCUUGAUUAUCUUAUUAAACCUCUCCACAUGGUGAUUUGGGUCAAUUUUUCCUCCAUAAACCAAGGCUAGAACCACAUACUUGAGCGGCAAAGCCACUGCCAUUACCUCAGGUGUUAGCGGAGAUUCGUUGUCAAACAACAAUUUUCCUACUACUUUCUUGCUCUCUGCCUUUGCCUUGAAUGCCUUUAGAGUUUUUUGAGAUUGGACCAUUUGCUGCUUAAUUGCAAAAAUGUUAAGGAUCCUAACAUUUGAGGCCC